rnacentral:lncRNA from 1 species
AAAGUUAAGGUUUAAAUUUGAAACUUAAAAUUUUAAAUUUAAAUUUUAAAUUGUAAGUUUUAAAUAUUCAAUUUUAAAUUUUAAUUUUUAAGUUUAAAAUUUAAAUUUUAAAAUUUAAAAUUUAAUUGUUAAACUUGAAAUUUCAAACUUCAAGCUUCAAACUUCAAGUUUCAAAUUUUAAAUUUAAACUAAAUUUUAAAUUUUAAAAUUUGAAAUCUUAAAUUGUAAAUUCCAAAAUUUUAAAUUUCAAUUUUAAAAAUUUUUAGUUUCAAAUUAAGAUACAAUUUAUUUAUUUUUUUAAUCUCAAUUUUGAAAUUUAAAAAUUUAAAUUUUAAAAUGUUAAAUUUUAAAUUUCAAAUUCAACUUUUGAUUUCAAUUUUCAAAUUUUCAAAUUUAAAAUUUUGUAUUAAGUUUUAAUUAAUUUCAAUUUUCAAAUUUGGUAUUUUAAAUCUCAAAUUUUAGAUUUUAAAUUUAAAAUUUUCUUUCCAAAUAUCAAAGUUUAAAUUUAGAAUUUGUAGUUUAAAUUUUGAAUUGUAAAUUUUAAAUUUUAUACAAUCACUUGAAAAAAUUCUCUAAACAAUUUUACAAAAUCAAUUCAGAAAAAUCACUUUUCUGAGACACUGUCAAAUUUGUUAUAACUUUUUAACUAAAAGCAAUUCUUCAAACUAGACCUGCUUUGGCAAAGAUCACUUCUUUAAAGUUAGGCAAAAUAGGCUCUAAAUCAUAUUCAAUUCAGAUUAAUUAUCGAUUCAAAUACCUUAUUAUGGGGCACAACAUGAAAAUAAAUAGUUAUGCUUACUUUUAGAAAUAUUCUAGCUUUUUAGAAGUGUUCUAGCCUUACUCAUAUGUCACCACCCAAACCCUCUGCUAAUUCGAAUUGCAACCACUAUAUUUCCAUACUAUAUUUCCAUACGAUUCAAAUUCGAAUUAUAGAGCUGUAAGGCUUUAAGAAAAAUCUAUAUCUAUGCCUACUUCUCUCCGGAGCGAAUCAAAACUAGUAAAAGAAUAUCUAACUAUACAUGCAACAAUAAUAUGGGUCAAGUAAUAUGAACAACUAAACUAAGAGCCAACCUAGAAUACUGAAACUCAGUAUUUAUAAACUUAUGAAUUGGAAACCGAAACAUUCCUAACGCGCCACGUGGCAGCGUGCGAGGGGCGUGGGGUGGGGCGGCCGCGAGCGGGCACGAGGCGCGGGUGCGCACGGGGCGCGGGCGCAAACGCGGGCCCGCUCGAGCCGCGUGAGUGGGAGUGCUGCGGGCGGGGGUUAGGGUUUUGUUGGGUUUUUUUGUUUCUUUUUUUUCUGUUAUAAUUAUUUCAGAUUAUCGAUUCAAAUACCUUAUUAUGGGGCACAACAUGGAAAUAAAUGGUUCUGCUUACUUUUAGAAAUAUUCUAACUUUUUAGAAGCGUUCUAGCCUUACUCAUAUGUCACCACCCAAACCCUCUGCUAAUUCGAAUUGCAACCACUAUAUUUCCAUACUAUAUUUCCAUACGAUUCAAAUUCGAAUUAUAGAGCUGUAAGGCUUUAAGAAAAAUCUAUAUCUAUGCCUACUUCUCUCCGGAGCGAAUCAAAACUAGUAAAAGAAUAUCUAACUAUACAUGCAACAAUAAUAUGGGUCAAGUAAUAUGAACAACUAAACUACGAGCCAACCUAGAAUACUGAAACUCAGUAUUUAUAAACUUACGAAUUGGAAACCGAAACAUUCCUAACGCGCCACGUGGCAGCGCGCGAGGGGCGUGGGGUGGGGCGGCCGCGAGCGGGCACGAGGCGCAGGUGCGCACGGGGCGCGGGCGCAAACGCAGGCCCGCGCGAGCCGCGCGAGCGGGAGUGCUGCAGGCGGGGGUUAGGGUUUUGUUGGGUUUUUUGUUUCUUUUUUUUCCUGUUGUAAUUAUUUCAGAUUAUCGAUUCAAAUACCUUAUUAUGGGGCACAACAUGGAAAUAAAUGGUUCUGCUUACUUUUAGAAAUAUUCUAGCUUUUUAGAAGCGUUCUAGCCUUGCUCAUAUGUCACCACCCAAACCCUCUGCUAAUUCGAAUUGCAACCACUAUAUUUUCAUCCUAUAUUUCCAUACGAUUUAAAUUCGAAUUAUAGAGCUGUAAGGCUUUAAGAAAAAUCUAUAUCAAUGCCUACUUCUCUCCAGGGCGAAUCAAAACUAGUAAACGAAUAUCUAACUAUACAUGCAACAAUAAUAUGGGUCGAGUAAUAAUAAUGUAAUAUGAACAACUAAACUAAGAGCCAACUUAGAAUACUGAAACUCAGUAUUUAUAAACUUAUGAAUUGGAAACCGAAACAUUCCUAACGCGUCACGUGGCAGCGCGCGAGGGGCGUAGGGUGGGGCGGCCGAGAGCGGGCGCAAGGCGCGGGUGCACACGGGGCACGGGCGCAAACGCGGGCCCGCCCGAGCCGCGUGAGCGGGAGUGCUGCGGGCGGGGGUUAGGGUUUUGUUGGGUUUUUUUGUUUUUUUUUCUGUUAUAAUUAUUUUUAAAAUGCAAUUUAUUUUUUUUAUUAUAAAGUUAUAAUAGUUGUUAAAAAAAAUUUAAGAAUUAGCGAAAUUGGUAUGUCAUCGGUUUAUUUAACCUUUUUUUUAGCGUCGAUUUUUUACUUUAGUUUUUGUAUACUUUUCGCUUUUGUUUCAAGAAUAUAAAGUUAUAAUAGUUAAAAGAUAUUUAAGAAUUAGCAAAAUUGGUAUGUCAUCGAUUAUUUAAACUUUUUUUUAGCAUCGAUUUUGAUUCGUAGUUUUUGUAUACUUUUCGCUUUUGUUUCAAGAACAUAUAUAAAUCGGUAUGUAUAUAUAUAUACUUUACAUUUUUUUUUUAUUUCCCUCUUUCUAACCCUCUGUUAAAACUCUACAUGUUUUUUUUUUUUUCUAUCGAAUUUUUUUUUUGGAUUUAAAUAUUUUUUUUAAAGAAAUGUACUUGAGUUUUAUUUUUUAAUUUUAUGCUUAAAUUUUAAAUUAUUUAAUUAUUUUACAUAUUUAGUGAGUAUAUUUUAUGUAAAUUUUUAAGAAGUUAUUCAUAAAAUUUUUGAAAGUUAAAAAAAAAAAGUAAAAAACAAAUAUUUAUAAAUAAAGUUUUCUGUAUUUUCCUCAAAAUAAAAUAACAGCUAAAGUUUGGAAUCUCGCUCAAAUCUAACAUAUAGAAAAAAUUUAUAAUAAAAACAAAAGUUCGAAAAUUGCCGAGAUAAUUCAAAAUAAUUCAUAAUUUAGAAAAUUUUUAUAUGUUUUUACUGUCAAACUUCAAUGCAGUAUUUAUAAUUGCAUUAUUGAUUAAUUUUACCUUUAAAAUUUUUUGAUAUAUCUUAGUACCUUGGGAACAAAUUUGGAUGACUGAUCUGAAUUUGUAGUAGAAAAAAAACCCUCAUAAAUACAACAUAACGCGUUAUAUGUCAAACUGAAAAUGAAAUAUACCAAAAUACGUGGGGCAAAAAACAUGAAAUUAAUAAAAUACCUGAGGUAAAAAGAAUAAAAAAUAGUUCUGGCAGCGGCGCCUGGUAUCUUGCCUUAUUACUAAAUAUAGCAAAUUUUUACAAAAAUUUUAGAUUACAUUUUUUUUUUGUUUUAUUAUGAGAAUUUAUUUUUUGAUGGGUCUGUUGUAAUAAUUACAGAGUCACCAUGAUGACGAAUGGCUCUAAAAUUUUCUUAUUUAAUUGAGUAAAAUAUAUUAUUAUUUAUUUUAUACAAAACAUAUUUUAUUCUUCAUUAAUUAUUUAUAAUAUAAGUAAAAUAACCCCUUGUGUAGCACGGAUUCCUUAACUAGUAGUGGAUUAAAUUUGGCCAAAUUUGCAAAAGUGUAAAAAAAAUAUAGAUAAAAAAAAAGGGAUAAUUACCUAUAUACUCUUCAUACGUUUGAAAAUUUCUAUUUACCCUUCUUUUUUUUUCUAAAAUACUCCUAAUAUGUUCCACCGUUAUUGCAAAAUACCCCUGCAGUUAUCUCCUGUUAAAUUAACUUGGGUUAAACGUGAGUUAAAUAUCAACCACAGUUAAAAAAAAUUAAAAUGCCAAUUUUGCCCUUAACUUAAGAACAAAUAAGAAAUGUUGGUGACGGUAGAGGGGUAUAUUGGAAAAGACCAAAAGUCAAAAUACUUAUUGUGCCCCUAAUUUUAAGGGCAAAUAAGAAAGUCAGUGAUGAUGGAAGGGUAUAUUUGAAAGGGCAAAACAGUAAUUUUACAAAAAUAAUAGAGUUAAUUAACAGAUUUUAACUCUAUAGAGGUAUGUUAGAAAUAGGUCGGAACAUAGAAAAAGUAUUUUCAAUAUUAGCCUUCUAAGAGAAGUAAAUCGGAAAGUCGAAAACUUUUCAGUGGUAUAUAAACAAUUGUCCCUAAAAAAAAAUAGAAUUAUAUAAGAUAUCACCUCCCUGCUAGAGAUGUCAAUGGGUAUGGAUACCCGAAAUAUUAUCGGGACGCGAACCCGAACGGGGCGGGUUUAUUCUAGCUAAAUGAAUAUGGAUUCGGUUAUAGGUAUAGAAAAUAAAAACCCGACGGAUAUGGAUACGGAUAUGAAUUUUGUAUUUACCCGACCCGAAUCCGAACCCAACGCGAACCCGAAUAAAUUAUAUAUAUACAUAAUUUAUUUUUAUUUAUUUAUAUAAUAUAUAAAGUAUUUAAUAAUUUUUAUUCCUUAAAUCUUCAUUCAACGGUUUGAAUUUUUUAAACCAGCUAGGUUCGGGUCCGGGUUCGGGUUUUUGGUCGGGUACAGAUAUGGGUAUGAAUUUUUAAAACCCGCCGAGUUCGGGUCCGGGUACGAGUUUUAAUUUAGUUUUCGGGUUCGGGUUCGGAUUUUUAAAAAUCCGACCCAAACCCGACCCGUUGACAUCCCUACUCCCUGCAGCAGUUCACAAAACCUUCAAAUUAGUAUUUCUAUUCUAGAGCUCAGAAACUAAUAUAGUAAGUUUAAGAUUCAAACUAUUCAAAUUUUCGAAAACCCUUUACACGAUGUGUGCAGUCAAACACAAAAGCAAGAGUAAAGAUAAACAACAAGCACGCCUGUUUGGAGUUGCUUUCCGCAAACGUGGCAAUAUGUGUUUGCAGGGAAAGUUACAACCGGGUCGGCUUCCCGAACCAACGUUUGCGUAAAUUAUAAACAUACUGACAUGAUAUUUCUCCACAACCAAACAAUUGAGUGCGACAAUGUCGGCGCCUUUUUCCGGUGAAUGGGUGGACAUACUGCAGAUUCGUGUCCGAUUUCUGUUCUUAGUCCAAUCUGACAACUAGUCCACCACAUCUGGAGAAGAAAACUAAUCACAACAAAUGAAGUCAGGUGAUGGUACAGAAAAUGAGUCACAAGUUUAGUUUCAUGCCCUAAUGUUGCCCUACUCUUUUAGAUACAUGGGAGUUUGUAUCAUCCUUACAGCCAUGUUCUGUUCUCAAAAGGUUAAAUUAGUAUUGGACAAUCACAUCUAUAUAUCUCCUAUAAGAUAAGUUAGAGAGAACUCCCUCUCUGAAUCAUCAUAAUGGAGAGAGUAGCCCUUGUAGUAUUCUCAUCCUUGCAGUGACUCUCUCGCUUCCCCACCAUUGCAUCAAAUAGAAUUAUCUUUUCUUUCCUUCUCCAUGCGUAUACGGCCACAUAAUAAUAAUAUGUAGAAGGCUUCUAAGGAGCUGCACUUUCCAUCUGCAUUACAGCAAGUACCUAAGGUGAAUUUGUAUGUCUACACUAAUAUUCGAGUUCAUGAAGAGAAGCGAGUAAAAUGAAAGACAGAGAUAUCGAUAAUUGCUAUGUUUUGCAUAUUGGGAUUUCAAGGUGCAAAGAAACCUGAGACAAUGGUUGGCCCGGUAAGCACAGGCAGGACGAAAGCGAUGACAAAGGGCUAAUUUACAGUGCGGAUUACCGCGGAGAGUCUACCCAUCCUGCACCAUUACCAAAUCACCCAGAGCCAUAGACAGUACCUGCUUCACUUGUUCCAACACAAUAAUCAAAGAUCACUGCUUGUUAUCCACUCUAUGUAUUCUACUACAUCACGUUAAGGGAUUCACUUACAGCAAUCAUAUUUUACAUGUAAAGAACUAUUAGAAUAGUGAAAGUUAUAAAUUUGCUAUGAAGAACAGCGAGUUAUUGUUGAUUGAACCAAUUCGAAACCACUUUUGUGCAGAAGGAAAGGCUUCUUCUAAGCAUUGGAGCAACACAAGGAGCUUAUUUACAUAAAAUCCAGUUCUCUUCCUUUUCUAGAAAAGAAAGGAGAAAAGCUUAUUUUCAUUAUCUUGAUCUGUUUUUAGACAUUGAUGCGCUAUACAAUUAUGCAAGUAUUAAUCAAAUCAGGUUCUCUGAGUAUAAAUUAUGUUCAGUCAUUUUUAUUUUUUCCUUUCACUUGAAGAAAGUAUAUUUAUAAUUAGUCAGACUAGCGUGAUUCUCUAUGAGAUGUUAUAUUUGUCCACUGCAAAUGCAUGGUGUUUUAUAGUUUCGAUACAAUUUUUUGUGUUCCUGGAGUCCACCAAUUCAGCAGAUACUCAAAUUGAAACCCAGAACAUCCAAUCAUGGAAAACAAAAUCAUUCAUCCCAUUUAGAUAGCUCAAUCAUCUGAUAACAUUAUGGGUUCAUCUUAAACAACAUUUUCCUAGAUCAAAAUCUUGUUUUCCUAGACUUUGAACCCUUUAUCGUUUGUUUCAGAAAUAAAGUGUUCUUGUUUAUACCGAGUACUGAUACAACUUCUGGGAUAAACAAGAACUAAACAAAUUUUAUUUUUGGAUGAAAAUUUGAGUAUUCCCAAGUAUAAAAAAAUAUAGCGUUUGGUGGUUAAAUUGAAGUGGUGGGAAUAUGAGUAAUUAUAAUUUUAAAUAAAAACAUUUUAGCGAAUUGAUAAACAUCAAAAUGCUAAUAAAUUAAUAAUUUCAUAAGUUAAUUAAUUACUUAUUUAUGAACAUUGUACAACAUAAUGGAGAAACACAUUGAUAAGUUAAUAAAUUAUAAAAAGUAAGUUAAUUAUUUAAUUAUUUAAUCAAUUAGAUAACGAGUUAAUCAAUAAUUAGAUUAGUCAAAGAUAUUAAUUAGUCAAUCAAUAUGAAUAUUACUUAAUUCAUAAUCACAUAAAAUAAUUAAUUCUUUAAUUAGCUAGUAAAUUAUGAACAAAAAUUAAUUGCCCAACUACUUAAGUAAAUAUUUAUUAAUUUAAUAAGUGAUUAACUAGUUAGCUAAAUACUAAGUAAAUUAUUAUAUGAUAUAGUAUAAUUUAAUAAUAUUUUAUAAUUUUAUAUAGCUUAAUUAACAGUUUUAGUUAUCAACAAGGAAAGGGACUAAUUCCACCCAAAAGUUUUCACUCUGUUAAUAGAUUAUCCUGGUAUAUAACCCAUUAAGAGGGAAACAAGAAACUACAACGGUAUUUGGGUGAAUAAGGGGAAUAAGGACGAUUAUUCCUCCCUUGUUCCCCAACCAAACACUGCAUUAAGGCCUUGUUUGGAUGUCUGAAGCACUAGUUAAAUUUUCUUUGACAGCUUUUUUCAGCAAAAUCAAAAGCUCGGUAUUGAAGCUUCUACAUUUGAAAACCAGAUUUCUACCUCAUUAUAGCUAACAAAAUAAUCUGCCAUCCUUUUCACAUCAAGUACACUGUCACUCUACGGGACAGUUCUUUUGCAACUUAUGUGAGCUCAAGAACUUAACAGAUUUAGGUAAGAGAUGAAUUGAUCUACGAAGACCACACUAUCCAGUUUUUGUUUAUUCACUAACAAUUCAACGUGAUUAUGCUAAAGGAAACAUAUAACGUGAUGGAAUCAAAAUGCAUUUAAGUAUGACCCAGAUCAUGAAAUCUCAGAGGCACAUCUAGAACAUAUAAAUGACGCUUAUAUUAUAUAACCGUUAAAUACAAAGUAUGCUAGUAAAUUUUGAAGUAAGAGAAAAGUUAAAUACCUCAAGUUUAGCCAUUCAUCAUUGACAUGAUGUCCCCAAAACCAAAGUAACUCUAUUAUUGUUAUACUCAAGUCAAAAGAUUCAUGCUUUGAGAUCUUACAUCUGUAGGCCAAGAUUGGUGCUAAGAAUUGUCCACUUUCAUGGGAACUACAAUCUCCUAUGAAGUGAGAGCAUUCCCUUCAUAUACUGAUUCCUUGUUUUUUUGUAUUUCUCCAACAAAAUAUUAAAACUCUCACAUGCUUCUUCAUACACAACAUCUCUACAAAACCGGAACUUAAACAGAUCAAACUCUACAAUUGCUUCUUUAAUGCAGUUACUGUACAAUGCAAAAAGGUCUUCAAGUACCCCCAAAAGAUUAUUGAAAUCUAUCUCAUCAUCCUCCACUCCAUCCUGAGGCAAAUGCUGAAGCCACCUCAUCCACUGCAAGGUACUAUCAUUUCUUUCCUGAACAACUAAUUCGAUGCAUUUGAAUGCUUUGAUGAAGCUACAAUUCACAUUUAUUUUUUCAAUUACGUAGAGGAAAGUAGCUUUUUGGCUCGUGAUAAAAGCCUCUGCAUGAUUCUCUCUUUCACAAUCGAACGAUGCAAGCUUUGAAGCAAUCAUGCAAGCCUUCCUAAAUACAGGAUCGUGAUCAGCAAUCAGCUUGAUAGCAAUAUGCAGCAGGAGAGUGAACAUGACACUUGGCUUUUUGUAAUUUGAAUCAACAAGAUGAUGACAUUCUUUUUUCUGUUUCUUGUUCCAACAAUAAAGGGCAAUGUGAGUAAAUCCUUCCCAUCUGAAAGACAAAAUCUAGUGUAAGUCACCACAAAAAAGGUUUUAGCAGAAUAACAUCACCUACUUAAUUAGCCAAAUUAAUAAUUAGAAAAGAUAAUCUUAGAGCUAUCUCUGUAUGUGGAGAGCUAGAUGCGAAACUCCACAUAAUUGGGAUGCUAUAGUGUCAGUAUGUAUAUAAUGCACACAAAUAAUUUAUGCACUAUAUUAAUCGUAUUGAACUGACACUGUUCGGAUAAUUUGGCUCUGUGAAGCUGGAAAAUCACUUUGAUUCAGUCUGAAAACUCGAUUAAAUUUAGUUUAUGUUUACAGUUGGUUAUAAAAAAAAAUGAUAAGAGAACAAACCGACUAAAGAGAAUAAAGCAAAGGGGUGUAUAUAUCUCAAAGCAAACAGCAUAGAUAUCCUCCAACUACAGGCAAUUUUGAAACAGGUUCCUGAGGUUUUAUCUUUUAGAUUUGAACUCUUGAGCAGGCAUGUAUUUCAUUUCAAAAAUUUCCAUUUGAACUUGGUAACUUUUUUAGUAGAGUAUUUUGUAACAUAAUUUUAUAGUUUUGAAAUUUCCUGACAGAAACUAUCAAAUUCUUACAGAACCUAACAAAAUGGUCAGUAGUAAUCGAAGAACGAAAAUUUGAGAUAAUAAGAUAAAGAUGUCGAUCAAAAUGGUCAGUAAUAAGCAUUAUAAUAAUUAAGAAAGAUAUUAAGCCUACAAAUAAUUUCUAAUUAAACUUGCACCCAAAAGCCCAACCACCAGGGAAUAGCUCCAAAACCCAAAAACUAAACUGCACCAAAAUAUUUUAGGUCUGGUUAGCACAUGUUUUUAUGGCUUUUUGGUUUCUUAUGGUUUCACAAACUAGCAAUUCUUUUACUAUUUUCAUUCAAUUUUCUUCAUAAACUAAUUGAGACAACCAAAGUGCACAUCCGCAGUGUAGCACUUUGAUAAGAAGAAAAUGUCACUAAAGAUAUAUACAAAUCAAGACAUACUUACUGAAAAGGCAGUUCAACUUCAAUAGCAAGAGUCAAGUGGAGUGAGUAAUCAGCAGCUACACUCCCCUGAGAUUCCAUUUCAUCAUAUACUGUAUGAGCCAUGUGAGCAUAACCCCUUGGAAUAUACAAGAUGUCACCUUCCUUAAUAAGCAUUUGCAUUGAUCUAACUGAAUCACUCUUUAAACCCAAGUUUUUGAGAGGCCCAUACAAUCUAGGCAAAACUGCUGUAGGAUGAGUUGAAACAGUCCAAUGUUUGCGCCCUAGAAUUUGCCAGACAAAUACACAGUGAUCAUCAUAAUGGCAAGCUAAUCCUUGCGAGCAAGGUGGUGAGAGGUAAACAUUAACUCCUACAGAAGGUUGGCCAAAGAGGUCUGCUAAUGCCUCGGCAAUGGCGGCAACUUCAUCAGAGCGAAACUCCAUCCCACGUAAGGCAAUUGUAUACCCAUCAAGAAAUGCUUUUUUACACUUGGGUAUGGUAAAUGGAUCGUUUGUAAAGAAAUGCUCUUCCAUUUCCCCCGUGUCUUGUGAGCACAUAGGAUUUAGCUUUGAUGUCCUCAAAACCCUAACAUCCUGCCCAUGCACAAUUGGAGAGCCCAACAAAUCUUUGACCUCAUGAAGGAAGCAAUUGAUAUCUAGUUCAUCUGAAGCAAUGGGUGGACAAGUAACAAGGCCUGCUAAUAUCAAGUCGAUGAUAUUAUCAGCUAUUUUGGGAUUAAAAGAACCAAUCACGGAAGAGAAAAUGGUAUUAGCUUUCUCUGAGUUCUUUGACAUCCCUUGAAGUACCAAAGGUGAAUUUUCCCAGUAGUUUAGUAUAAAGUUUUCAAAAUCAGAUUCCUUUCCUCCAAAGAUAAUCAUUCGAACAUCAGUAGAAUCCCAAGGUGCGGGACGAAUUUGGUUCAUUGAUAACCUAAAAAUAGUUUCAGCAAGAUUGAACUCCGAACUUCGCAAGAAACUUUUAAGACGAUUGUUAUUGGUCGGUAAUGUCAGACCUCGAAUGUUAUGCCAGAUUUCACACAGCAAAGACAAAACUUUUUUAAGUAAUUCAGGCGAGAUCCUUUUUGAACAGUCUUCAUUGCAUGUGUUGAUGAGAGUCAUUGCAGCAUCAAGAAUUAAUGCCAAAAAUUUAUCUCUUGAAUAUCCUUUGGAGUUUUCACUAUAUGGCUUAUCCAUGUCUUGAGGAACAUCAAAAUAUGCAGGAACUGAUUCCACCUGACAAUACAAGCAUCUGCAAGUAGUCAUAUAUCAACAAUAACAAGUAGCAAGAAGAAGAACCGAUGAUGAGUAUAUCUCCUAACAAGAAGAGUAAUAACCUAACUGGUUUGAUAAUAAAUUUAAUGCAUGAAAGCUCUCAGUAGAAACUUCACGAUAUUGUUGCUAGUAAUACUUUAGAAUCUACAAAAGUAAACUUAUCAGUUACAACCAAGACAUGUUACAAAAUAGGGUAAACUUCAAAUACCACCCCUGUGGUUUCACAUUUUCUCACUUUAGUACCCUGUGGUUUAAAGUGCAUCAAGUUAGUGUCCUGUGGUUGCAUUUUUAUCUUUUCGUCAGCUUCUCCGUUAAUAUUUCAUUAAAUUAUAUACAAAAAACUUCAGAUACCCCAUCUAAAUUUUUCGAAUAUUUACUUUAAUACUCUUUAGUUUUAACUUUGUCACUGAUUUAACAAAAAAAAUUAGUGGAAUCGAUAAUAAAAAGAUAAAAAUGAAACCACGUGGCACUAAAUUGAUACACUUUAAACCACAGGGUACUAAAGUAAGAAAGUGUGAAACCACAAGGGUGGUAUUUGAAGUUUUCCCUACAAAAUAGUAGUAGUAGUAAUAAUAAUAAUAAUAAUAAUAAUAAUAAUAAUAAAAGCAACUGUAGAAACUAUAUGCUAAUAGCUACAAUCCUCUAGGUUUUUGGCACCUAAACGAUUGAAUGAUAGUGAAUAUGAAUAAUAGAUUAUGACACUAUGACACCUCAAUAGUCCCAUAUCGGAUAAUGUGAGAGAGUGUGAAGGCUUAUAUGUGAUGGGCACACCAAAACUAAUAAUUGGGCUUAACCAUUUUGAGUCGGUAGUUUGGGUCCAACAAGUUAUUAGCGCUAGUAGGCUGGGUUGUUACCGUCGUUGUCAGAGCUAGUUCAUCAGCCGAAAAUGUAAAGUUGGCCUCACAUAGCCUGGUAAUCGUGGACUGAGUGUGGUUAGGCUAACGAGGAUUUCAGGGCAUAAAAUGAAGAGAAUAUGUAACAACCCCAAUCAUCUCAUAUCAGAUAAUGGGGGAGAGUGUGAAGGGCUUAUUGAUGGGCACAUUAAAACUAAUAACUAGGCUUAAGUAUUUGAGCCGGUGGUUUGAGCUCAACGAGUUAUUAGUAGCAUUGGGCCGGGUCAUUAUAAACAUGUAGAACAAUUUCCAAACCAUAACAAUUUCCAUAAUAUCUAAAGAUCAACCUUUUUCAAGUAAAUAGACCUUCGAAAAUGUUGGACUUUUGCUUUACAGUUGCAAGAACAAAGUAAUAAAUAUUUGCAUAAUCUAAAAAGGAUAUUAUGAUAAAGUGCAGAUACUAAGCAAAUAAAAGAAGGAAGACAAUCAAAACAGUUGGCAACAUUAACCUGUAGGAGAAGCUCCAGAGUUCAGAGUACUAAUUGAUAUAGUUAUCACAAACAUUAUGAUAUUCUCCACAAAUUCAGACAAUUCGUGAUUUAUAGACCAAGCUGAUAACAACAAAAAGAAAAAAGAGAGCAAAUUUACUCACAAUAGACUCUGGAUAGCCAAUGAGUCUUUAAGUCGCUCCCUUCCGUUGGGAGAACUUGAAAGAUCCAUGAUAGCAUUGCAUGCAGCCUUGGCUACUCGGUAGCUCUGGCUCCCCAAUGCACUAAUCAAACACUUCACAACUUCAUAAUCUGAAGCUAUUGCCAUGUUCAUCUCCAUAGAGUGAAGAGCAGCGGCGCCAACAACCUCAGCACUUAGAGCCGCCACAGCAGGGCAUCUAACAGAGGACCAAAACAACAAUGAAUCAAUUCAUCCAAACACCCAAAUAAGAAGAGAAACUAUAUAUGAAAGUGACCCAAAGAUUAAUUCGAUAGGAAAUAACCUAUGAGUAGUAAUACUCAGUGCAUGGUAGAGAUCAGGCCAACCAUACCAUAUUACACAUUGAUAGAGUAGGUAACGGAAGGAAUGACAGUUGGGGAUUUAACCAAUUAAGGACUUGUAUAGUGUUAUUUUGCUCUUAAUUGUAGUCGCAUUCAAUAGAGUGCAGAGUAAAAACUAAAGUUUAGAGUUUUUGUUGUAUCAGAUAGUAGAAAUGAGAAUUUGAGCGCUAAAAGAAGAAGCUCUAAUUAUAUCAGAUAGUAGAAAUGAAAUUUUGAGCCCCUAAAAGAAGAAGCCCUAAUUAUAUCACUAGAAACAGCUUGAGAGAUUCUAAUAUAGUUUUUUUUUUAUAGCAAUGUUAAACUGUAUUUUGGCAAGCAUCACUACACUCUACAGCAGAGCCAAAUAGGCUCUCAAAUUCUCGGCAAAAGUUCAAAUUUAGAGCUUCUGCUUUUGUCACAGUCUCAGUUUAGCUUCCUACCAAAAUAAAAGUUUCAAACAUUCAUAUUUGUAGAUGACUACAGAUGAAAUCAGAAGCUGGACCAAACAGGCACUAAAAGGUGGAUGUGGAGACUUGAGCCCACAACUUUCGAGAACAAAAGGAUCUUAGACCUAGCUCCGAUCAAAUAUUAAUCAAAAGAAUUGAGAUGAUAGGAAACAAGUCGUGAAUAGCAUUAGUAAAGAUUUGUUUAGACAUCAGAGUAAGUUAGCCGGUGACAAUUUAUUCGAUACGAAGAUUUUCUUGUCUAAUUGAAGGCAAGAGUUUAAUGUCUUCCCGUCAAAAAGGUCUGAUAUUUAUGAUUGGCUAGGGUAGCAUAUUUUCCUACUGAGUUCAUUUAUCGUAUUCAGAAAAAUAAUAACUUGAAGGUCGAAUAGGUCAUACGAUUUGAGACAUUUGACAAUGCUCCUAACUUCCAAUCAUACUAAAAAUUAUCAAACCAAAUAGUAUAUCACGAAAUAACUUAUUCCGACUUAUUACAUAGCCAAAUAGAGAGAGAGAGAGAGAGAGAGGGAGAGAGAUGGGCUUAAUCACCUGGAUGUGAGGAGGAGAGGGAGGAGCGAGAGAAAUCCGCCAGGGAGAGGAUUCGAAGAAGGAGAGGUCGGGGGGACGGCGAUAGCGAGGCGUUGGGAGCGGAGGAAGCGGCGGAGGAGCGAGCAGGCGACGGGGUCUUGGGCGCCUCGCACCGCCGCGGCUAGAAGGAGGGGGAAGACUGCUCGAUCGAACGAGGAGAAGCAGGAGGAGGAGGUGGAGGUGGUCUUCUUGCGUACUCCUUUCCUCCUCUUCUUGCGGCGAGCCUCUUCUUCCUCCUCCAUGUAUCAGAUGGAAUUUGGAGUUUAAUCUCACUGUAGAGCACAAACUCUUCAAAAUGGAUUAUUGAUAUGGAAUAACAAUGACUCUUAUACAUACAAAAUCUAGGGUUAAUUGCAUACAGCGCCUUUAGCGAAUUAUAAAUAUAUUUUUACAAAAUUCAACUUUCUUAUGUUAUUUCUAUAAAAAAUUCUAAUAUUUUCAAAUAUAUUAUUACCAUUAGAAUUUAGUUAAUUAUAGAUAAAAUACUUAACCCUGGUUAGUCAUUUUUUAUCCAUCUUAUAUUAUAUUUUUUUUCUCUUAAUCAAAACUGUACUAAUAAAAACUCUUCUUCUUUCUUUUUCCUCUUUCUCUGCCUCUUCCUCUUUCUCCUUCAUGCUAGUUUCAUACCCAAUUCAAUAUUUGUGUAAACAAUGCAACAUUUGCACAAUUUAUAUAAUAUUGCAUAAUUUUUAUACUAAAUUACAAAUAAUAUAGUAUAUUAUAGACCGAUUUACAUAAAAAAUCCAAAAAUUUUGAGCUUUUGCAAAGCUAGACUGCCUUUUUCAAUUUUACAGAUUCGGUCCGAAUUUUUAGCAAAUUGACCAAAAUACCCUUAUACUUUUUUCUCUCUCCUUUUUUUUUCUCGUGUUCUUUUUUCUUUUCUCACCGAAGAAUGCGGGAAGGCGGAGGUGGAAACGGCCCCCCUCACCUUUGCCUCUCAUGCCCUCGCACUUGCUUGCGCACCUCCCGCCCUUCUCGCCUCAGCCCCCCGCCUAGGCCGUGCUGCGAUCCCCCCCCCUCCUUUUUUUUUCCUCUCUGACCCUCCUCCACCCACCGUCCCCACCACCGCCGUCGGUGACGAAGAGGAAAUACUUCUCGGGGUCGAGAAGCAGCCGGCGAGGGAGGGAGAGAAAAAUAGUUACACUCCGGCGAGAGCGGUGGCUGCGAUAGAGAGCAAGGGAGAGGUCGUGACCAAAAAAAUUAUAGAAAAAAAAUAAAAAUAAUAAAAAAUAUUUUUUCUACAGAAAAGAUCAAAAAUUAUAGAAGACAGAAGAAGAAUAUGAAAUUGUACUGUUAAAAUAAAGUUACACUGUUUUAAAAAAAAAAAUGCACAGUAUUAGAUGAAAGCUGCACUCUUUGAAACAUAAAUUAACUAUUUGGGAUAAGAGUUACACUCUUUAGGUGAAAGUUAGAUUAUUUGGGUGGAAUUUACACCAUUUUUCAUUCUCUUCUUCUUCCCCCUUUUUCCCCUCCCCCUUCGCUUUCUCGUCAUUGUCCUCCUUCUUCCUCCUCCACCUUCUCCGUCGCUGUCAUUGUCAAGCGCCCCUCGGGCCGCCGUCCCCCUUCUCCACCGGCGCAUGUGCGCAACAAGGUCGAGAAUGAGCCGUUGAUGUGGCACGACAUCACCUUCUCCACCCCUCCCAAAAGCUUCCCGCUGAAAACACCACCGGCACCGCCGAUGCCAAUGCCGACGCUAACGCCGACGCCGAUGCAGAUCCCGCCGCACGGCGCCGCCUCACGGGGCUCGCGGUAGAAGCAGAGAAGGUUGACGAGGCGGGGGCUGCGAAGAAAGGAGAGGAUGCCGAUCCCGUUCUCGACCUCGUCGCGCACGGGCGCCGACGAAGAAGGGGGUUGGUGGCGUAAGGGGCGCUUUGCUAGCUUUUAUAUGUCUAGUACUUUGCUCCCUAACGAGACUAUAAAAGAAAUCUCCAAACUUAAAAGACUUUUGGUCGAGAUUCGAAGAAGGUCAUAAGCAUAUUAAUUUAUUAUAAAUCUUGGCAGUUUCUUUGUCGUCCUCUAUCUACUGGCGGACUUAGAAUUAAAGACCCGCUUUACGUCAACAAAGCUUUUAUCAUAAAGAUGGGUUGGCUAAUAGUCUCUAAACCUUCUACUCUUUAGGCUCAAAUCACUAAAGCUAAAUAUUUUAGCUCGAAAUCUUUUUAGUCAGCAACAAAACCUAAGACCGCUACAAAUCUUUGGCGGGCUCUUUUUAAUAUAAGAGAUAAGUUGAGAGCAGGGUGCUUAUGGUAAAUUGCUGACGGGACUUUUAUUCUUAUAAAUGAAGAUCCCUGGAUCCCUUCAACUCCCUCUCUUACUAAUAUUCGUUUACCGGAAAAAACUUUUAAAGUUAGCGAUCUAAUCUAUACUGGCCAGUGGGAUAUUGUUAAACUGCAUUCAAUCUUCGAGCCCUUUUUGAUGAAUGAAAUUAUCCAGAUAAAAGUUCCAAUGUGCAACCGAAGAAUGAGAUAAACUUAUCUGAAAAUUUUCUGAUACAGAUAGUUUUACUACUAAAUUUGCGUACAAUUUCUUGUAGGCUAUAUUGAUAGGCCCUCUUCUUCUCGAACACAUGACAUUACAAGGGCGCUGGAAUGCAUCUGGAAAUGCCACCUGAUCAUCCCUCGUAUUAAAACUUUUCUUUGGCGAGCUUUAGUAGGGACACUGUCUACGAAUGUGGCUAUCAAAAAAAGAAUUCCUGCUUGGGAUUCAGUAUGUCCUCUGUGCAAUUUACAUGAUGAAACUGUUAAACAUCUUCUAUUGUUUUGUGAUUUCUCUCAAGCAGUUUGAAUGGCUUCUCCACUAUGUCACAAAUUUGAAUCUGAGCCCAAUUCCCCUCUUGAUUGGGUGCUUUUUCUCAAGGAUUCUCUAUAUUAUCAUGACGAUAUUUCUCUAAUCUUUAUCAUUUGCUGGCAUAUUUGAAAACAAUGAUAUGAUGUGAUUUUUUGAUAGCACUAACCUAAUAUUUUCAAUGUUAUAACUAAGGCCAUAGUAUUGUUUGAAUCUCUAAAAAGAGCAUCCUAACAGCAUGAGGCCUCUGAUGUGCACAUUCAACUCCCAAAAGUAGCAGUGCGAAUUAAAUGUGAUAUUGAGUGUUGGAUUGCAGCUUCCUGGGAUGUUGGCUUUUGUGGGAUAGGGAUGAUCUUUCACAGUACAACUAAAAGUUCUGCCCCAAUAAUGUUAGCGAGUUCAUUUAUGCCAGCUCAACUGCCGAAGGAAUAUUAUAUGCUAUCUUAUGGGCUCUUCAAAUUGUUAGUUCAUGGCCAGCUUUUAGUACUACAAUUUACAAUGAUGCUUCGAAUGAGGUUUCUACUAUUCUUUCUACUAACACAUUGUCAAAUUGGGCUCUCGCUCCUCUCAUUAACGACUGAAGAAAUUUAUUGCGGUUGCAUCCAAGUAUUACUAUCUCCUAUGUUAGAAGAGAUCAAAAUACAGAUGCUCAUAAUGUUGCCAAUGCAACUUUACGAUCAUAAUCGUCUAUUGUCUAACUCUUUGUCAUCUUUGAUGUACUUCUAAUUUGCUAAUAAAACAACCUACGGAUUUUCUCUCAAAAAAAUUAAUUUUUCAUGUAUUGAAUUAUUUAUUUAUUAUAACUUUAAACAAUUUAUUGCCUUUAGCCAAAACUCAGGUAAUGUAAGAAUUUUUUAAUUUUUAAAAGUGUAGUACUUUGCAAUUCAUGCAAUAUGUAUUCAAAAUCUAAGCAUAAAUAGGCGUACAUUAUAUAGUCAUCUAACUCAAAUCUAAUAAUAUUUUACUAACUUUUUCCAAAUUAAAUUUGUUAAAAUUUUAAUUUGUAAAAGUAAACUUGUGAAAAUUUUAUUUAUAAAAAUAAAGGUCAAUUUGCAUAAAAAAUUCACAAGUUUUGAGCUUUUGCAAAACUGGCCACCUUUUCCAAUUUUGUAGAUUCGGGCAAGAUUUUCAACAAACUGACCAAAAUACCUUUAUUCCUUUCUUUCUCUUCUUUUGUUUAUCUUCGUUCUUUCUUUUUCUUUUUCUCUCCAACCCUCAUCGCCUCCUCCACCACCUCUGCAGUCUCGACGAUGGUAACAAAGGCGGCACUGUCUCCUUUUCCUCCAUCUCCUCCUCUGCUAGCGCCAGCAGCGAUCGGCGAUAGUGACGAGAGGGCGCCGCCUCUUCUUCCUCCGCCUCCGCAUCCGCCUUCGCCGACGCCGGAGAAAGAGAAGGAGAACUCGAUGUAGGCUCGAGUGAGGGUGGAGCAAACAGAGAUAAUGAGGUCGUUAUUGAGGAGGUGCUCAUCACCCAUGAGGGUGAGGAAGAAAGAUGCACUUAUCUCCAAGAAGCGAACAAGAUUCAGAGAAUAGAAAGAAGCAAGAAUAAAAAGUAAAAAAAUUUAAAAAACAAUUUCUCUUUAAAAGACUAUUAUAUAUCGUUGUUGCUAUCAAAAAAUCUAAGAAUCAAGAAAAAUGUAAGAAGAUGAAUGCUGUACUGUUAAAAAAAUUGCACUAUUUUACAAUAAAAUUACAUUGUUUAAUAUAAAAGUUACACUCUUUGAGAUGAAAAUUAAAUUUUUAAAAAUAAAAAUUGCACUAUUCCGGCAAAAAUUAUACUAUUUCAGAGAAAUUGUACUAUUCUCCGACGCUCAUCGCCUCAUCAUCAUCGCCUCAUCAUCUUCUUCUUAUUCGUCUUCCUUUGACCCCCUCCUCUCCCUCCCCCAUCUUCACCAACGCAAGCUUCUCUAUCCUAUGCGCCGCAUCGGAGCCCCGAAACACGGAACGACCUUAUCGCCUCCGUCCGCUUUGCCCUCACUCAGGUCCGCUCCAAGUUCUCUUUCUCAUUCUCUUGCGCCGACUGAGGCAAAGGCGGAGGAAGAAGAGACGACGCCACCCUCAUUACCAUCACUGAGAGCCGCCAGCACCAACGGAGGAGGGUAUGGAGGAAGAGAAGGCUGCGCUGCUCUUGUUACUGUUGCCCAGGGCCCCUGAGAUGGCAACGGAGGCCAUGGGGGUCGAGAAAAAAAAAACAAAGGAAAAAAAAGAGAGUGUGGGGUCGUUUCCAUAUUUUGGCACUCUAAUGCAACGCAUGGGAUAGAGAGGCUUGCAUUGGUGAGAAUGGGGGUCAGAGGGGGAGGGGAAGGGGAAGGAGGAGGAGGAGGGGGGCGAGGGGGUCAAGGGAAGAGGAAGAAAAAAGAGAAGAAGAUGAGGCGAUGAGAGUCGGAUGAUAGUGCAAUUUUUUUUGAAAUAGUAUAAUUUUUAUCGAAAGAGUGCAACUUUUAUUUCAAAAAGUGUAAUUUUUAUCUCAAAGAAUGCAACUUUCAUAUUAAACGGUGCAAUUUUCUUACAAAACAGUGUAAAUUUUUUUAAUAGUGCAACCAUCAUGAUCUUCUUCCUUUUUCUUUAAUUCUUAGACUUUUUAGUAACAGCAAUGAUAAAUAAUGGUCUUUUAAAGAGAAAAACUUUUUCUUUAUUUUUUUACUUUUUAUUCUUGUUUUUUUUCUAUCCUUUGAAUCCUUGUUCGCUCUUUGGAGAUGGGCGCGUUUUUUUUUCUCACCCUUACGAAUGGGGGGCACCUCCUCGACAACGACCUCAUCGCUUUCGUCUACUCUACCCUCACCUAGGCCCAGUUCUCCUUCUCCUUCUCCUUUUCCUUCUCCUUCUCCGACGUCGACGGAGCCGGAGGAGGUAGCGUCGUCCUCAUUACUGUCGUCAAGGGCCGCCGGCGCCGGCGGAGGAGAUAGAGGAAGAGGAUGCGACGCCACCCUCAUUACCGUCGCCGAGGGCUGCAGAGGCAGUGGAGGAGGUGAUGAGGAUCGAAGAGAAAAUAAAAAUGAAGAGAAAAGAGAGGAGAGAAAGGAAUAAGGGCAUUUUGGUUAGUUUGUUGAAAAUCCGGCUUGAAUCUGCAAAAUCGAAAAAGACGGUCCAAUUUUGCAAAAGCUCAAAACUUGUGAAUUUUUUUAUGUAAAUUGGCCAAAAAUAAAUCUAAACUAGUCACAACUAUAGCAAAGUUUAAACAAACAUUAAAAAAAGGACAAAUCAUUUAUCACAUAUUUACUUAAGUAAAUUACCACUUUCUAUCAUGAUGAAUUGUUUGUCGCAUCUAUAAUACAUUAAAUAGUUUAUUGUAUUUUUGAGCUUCUAUACCUGCAUAUGUAGCAGUAUAUAAAUUCAUUUUUAUAAAUAAAAUUUUUAGAAAUCUAUAUUUAUAAAUAUAAGGAUAAAUUGCACGUUUGGCCCUCAAACUAUAAAGCAGUGGACGCUUCGGUCCUCAAAUUUUAAUUUUUUUAUAAUAAUAGUUCAAACUCGUUGAAUUGUUGCAAUUAAGUCCCACAACCUAAUUUAGUUGACCAAAUAUUAACGCAUCGUUGAUGUAAAAGUAAUAUAACAUUUUAAUUAUUGUCGCAUCAUUAAUCACAAUAUUUUUACAUCGCUUUUAUAUUUAUAAUUUGUUAACAUUUAAUAAGUAAGUUAGAUUUUAGGACUUAAUUAUAAUAAUUCUAAAAAUUCAAAUAAAAAAUUAUAAUAAAUAAAAGUUUGAAAAAUAAAGUGUUAUGUGAUCAUACUUUGAGGGCCAAAUGUACAAUUUAUUCUAUCAUACUCUCCAAAAUGAGGUUACAAGUAUCUUUUUUUUUAUUAUUGAAAUUUAUUAAUGAGCAAUGCUAUCAGUACAUCUCAAAGUGGUUGAACAUCUUACACCCACAUCAUUAAUAUUUUACUUAUUGUCAUGCCCCGGGGUCCUUUUUGGAAGCCAACUCGAAAUCGGACUAUCUUUAUAAAUGAGAAUAAGCGAAAAACUGCCUUUUUUAAAAAAAAAAAUCUGGACCCCAAAGACGUGUAACAGACCCGCCACAAAUACAGAAAAUUUGCGAAAUAAACGGACAGAGCCUCCCCUGUAUUUACACGACGUAGCACAUAGUACAAAUCAACAACCAGAUCUCCAUUCACACACACAAUAACAUGAUGUACAAGGAUCGUCAUAUUACCUCAAACAACUAGCCGUCCUUAGUCACAUCCAUUCUACAUUCAUUUACAACCAUCCUAGAUGUUGAAAAUGUCUCCUAUACAAAGAUUUCUUUUUUAAAACUCUAAUUCUGCAAAAAAUCUCGAGAAAACUAUUUAAAAACGUUUCCCACACGAAAACCAUUAUUUUGAAAACGCUACCACGAGGGGUAGAAAACCAUCGAUAGAAAUGCGAGUCUAAAGCUGCAUGUAUUCAAAAACCACGAAUGAUCAAAACCAUGAGUAUCCAAACACAUAAAAACAUCAUCCAAAAAUUCACAAGUAUAAAAUAUCAACUGAACCACAUGUAUCAUCUACUAUCAGGUGUAGGGGUGAACUAUACUAUCCCAUGUAUGUCUAUACUAAGUAUGAAAUAAUCAAGAACGUAUACCGUAGGUCGAGACCUCUUUGACCGCCCACUAGCUACGGUCUCACGCUACGUCCUGGCCAAUCCCAUCUGCGUGGCCUAAAAAUAUUGGGGGGAGGGGGUGAGAAUAUAUAAACAAGUCUCCCCCUCCUAAUGGGUACGGCAAGCCGACGAAGGCAAGCUGUACCCAUAGGCAGAUGGAGGGAUAAACAGCAGUAGUAACAAAUAAAUCGAGUAUAAUAACAAUAAAUAACAUCUACCAAUGUCACUAAAGGAGCCAUUACUGUAAAAAGAGGUAAUAAGGCAAUGACCAACUAUAGUCCAUAGUCAAACUAGUGCAAUAACAAUGAUACCAGAACUGACAACAACAGUAAUAAUGAUGUGAAUAACCGCUACUGUAAAGGAAAAUAGAGAAAUGACUAUGCGUCAACUGCUACAGAUAGCACAAGUAUACCCAAUCUAUACCGCUGUAUCGAUCUAAGGACCUCAGGCAAACCACAACCGCUCUGUCUGGCAUAUAACCCUGGGAAAUGGCCGCUGAGAUCACGGGUUGGUAACCAACCACUUUUUCAUAAAAGAAUACCCUUCUACGGUGGAUCAGACCGCUGGUGUUCAUGAAAUGCUAUUGAGUUGUGACGAUCAAUGUGAAUAUGAUCAAUAGGCAACCAUCAGCAAAUAGCUGACAACCUCCACCCCUCGGGGCACACCGACUAAUAGGUCAUCGAACUGUAAGGAAAUACGAGUACCGACCACUCGGGUCAAUUAGGAUGGAACAACUCAACAUCCUCUCAAGUGUAUGCAAAUACCGACCACUCAGGUCAACAAGAAAGUACUAGGUCAACAACGACAAGAGUAUAAAGGAACAUACCACUCUGGUCAACUAGGGUGUAUCCACGAGAACAGACCUCUCAGGUCAACUAGGAAGUGUGAGAUCAAUGGCACUAAGUACACGGGCACCGACAACUCAGGUCAACGGGAAUAUAAAUGCAAGUGUCACCAUCACUCUACUUCUAUGUCAUGGCAAAUGGGAGACUCUACUAAGUAGAGCAAUAAUCAAAGUCAAGUUGUGAAGAGCUCUAAUUACCGAAUAUAUACAUAUAAGCAGUAAAAGGUAGAGAUGAAAGGAACAUCACCGAGCGUGCACCACUGAACCGACUUUGGACCAAAGUACCCACAUGUGUCCGUCGUCGCGUCUAGCUCCUAUGAGACAAGGGACGCCGACCAGACCUACGACAGGUCCACCGAGUCAGGAUCUAAUCCACAUAACUCACAACACAUCGCUCACACACCCAGAAACCAUCCGCGGAAUCAGUUUCCCAAAACUGAUCCCUGAACUCGCCGGGAAUCCCAAAAACGCGCUUUGAUGGGACCCACGAAACAUCCAUAAAGGCACUGACUCACAUCGGGAGUCACCUGCUAUCCCAAAAACACCUAUUUGGGUGUCUGAAAAGCAAACACAAGUCUCCAAGUCAACUCGAUCAUCGUCAAUCGACCGUUCACUAUUGGGCUUCCGAAAGUGUCCACUUUGGCACCGAAAGCCUCCGCCGCUCACCUAUCACCUCCAAACACACGAGGCGACCCCAAUGGCCAAUCAACAAGGAUACGCGAUGAUUUCCACGGUGGCCACGCAGCCGGAAACUCAUCGCGACGGGAAAAUGCAUUAUGCCGUUGAUUUUGCUGAAAAAUGCAUCGAAACUCCUCCGUCGCUUAUCCACCGCCUCUGGACUUUGAAGGUGGUGGUAGUGAUCAGCCAACACGGCUUGCAGGAUCUCUAGGGCAUUCGAAUGGCCAUUGUGAGAAAACUGCAACAUAAAUUGUGUUUGGAUCGGUGAAUUUUUGCCAAACAAUGCCGUGGGACCCCGUUUCCACUUCACAACGGCUCCCGGACCUUUGACAAUUAGUUAAGAGGUUGCUAAUAGUGAUUACACGCUGUCCAAGGCUGUGCGUGGGGUCCCCACUACAUACUAUUUGCAAUUGGCUCACUAAAGUCAAUAAAUACUAUGCACUAAAGCAUAAAACAUGAGUUUCAGCAUGUUACCCUGAUCUAUAGCGCAGCAAAUCAAUCCAACCAGUCGAUUUUACUCGUCUUGACGCAAGGAUCCUCGUGCUCAUUGUCCAAACCACGAUCAACAGCCAGACGGCUUUGAAACAGCAGGAAAACCUCUCCAACGGCACAUUUUUUGAAACCAGAAAGCCAAAACUCAGCGAUAGAGGGUUAUUGGCAGCAAUGGAGGUGAGCAUCGUGUUCAGCAAUUCGCGGGGAUUGCCAUGCUCACUUUCGCAUCGAUCGAGAAGCGUCAGGUGACCGGGAACACCAACCGGGUCAAAACCGGUCCUAAGUGGAGCUAGGGCAGAGAGCAGGGGCUCCGACCAACUGCCUGCGACCUGCCAGGGCGGAGUGCAGCGACGGCAAUGCCUCAAAUCGUGCAGCCCAUGUGGCACGAGCUCGGGCUCGUGGAGCUCAACGGCAACGGCGGCGAUCAAGGUGCCACGGGGCGGCGGCAGUGGGUCGCAGAGGGCGGAGAAAGGCGACGAAGAAGGCCCGAGGUGGCGGGAGGCCGCAGCGCUGCGCGGCAGAAAGAGAGAGAGAGAGAGAGAGAGUGAGAGAGAGAGGAAGAGAGAGAAGAAGUUGCUUCCUCUUCUCCGGCGGCCGACGGCGACGGUGGUGGCAGCAAGGCCCUCUCUCAGGUGGGUAAAGGGAGAGGAGAAGGAUGGGGUCUAGGGUAUGGACUCCCAAAAUCCCCCAAAUCCCACUUUGAAAACCAAAAACCAUUAUUCUAAAAGAAUAAUUGUCCAAAACUCUCCCAAAACUUUGAAUUUGCGAUCCAGUCCCUCUCUAACAUAAUUCUCUCGCAUAAAGACCCUUGCCCGCAGGUUUUCAUGCAAAACAGAGCACUGAUCGCAUCUAAAAAGCAAAAACAAUACGAGAUAAAAACCCUUCCAGCGAUAAAGCCUAUUUUUUUUAAAAAAAUCAUGCAUCAAACAUAAAAUACGUCGGCGUCGUUGGCUCCGCACAAUCGGACUAUCGAAAAUGAGCUAUUGGAUUGCCCAAAACGGAGUCCAAUUAGCGUCGGAAGCCCACCUCUCUCCUCAGUUAUUGUCAAAAAUGCGGGUUACUAUUCACUUUAAGUGAAAAAUAAUAAUCACGUAAAAAUUUUAUUUUAAAUUAUUUUUGUUGAAAUUUGACGAAUAAAUUUAAAAUUAAAAUACACACAAUAAUAUUUAAAAAAAAUAUCAAAUAUACAUAGAAUUUUUUUUUUUUUUCAGUCGUCACAAUUAUCAUAUCAAAUUUUUUUAAUUAAAAAUUAUUUAAAUUUUUAUCAAUCAUUGCAUGCGAAAAGCAAGAUUUAUACACAAUUAAUUUUUUGGGUGUACAAUAAGCAUUUCCCUUUGCAAAAUUUCGCCCACUCUAUGGGGGCAAUUCUGUAAAUAAAUUCUAAUAGAGGUGCUUUUUCACAUAAUACUACAGCUAUAAAAUUUCUUGCAAUUCUCCCAGCCGACCUCCCUCGUGAUAGGGUUUGAGAGAGAACGCGCGACAGCCGCAGCCGCAGCCGCAUCCGCCGCUUCGUUUUAUCUCUUCUUCUCUCGAAUUUUAGGUUAAUUUUUUCACUUCUUUAAUUACUUUUUUUUCGUUUUCUUUUUUUUUUUUUUUGUAUUUUUUGAUGAAAAUGAUGAGAUAUAGAAAGGAUCGCUCGUCGUAAUGGUAAGAUUUUGCCUUUGCCGAAACUUCUCUAUCUGUUUGUAUUUUUUUGGGAAAAUUUUUUUGAACUUUUUUCUUUGAAUGUAAAUUUUCACUUCUUUAAUUACUUUUUUUUCCCUUUUUUUUUGUAUUUUUUGAUGAAAAUGAUGAGAUAUAGAAAGGAUCGCUCGUCGUAAUGGUAAGAUUUUGCCUUUGCCGAAACUUCUCUAUCUUUUUGUAUUUUUUUGGGAAAAUUUUUUUGAACUUUUUUCUUUGAAUGUAAAUUUUAUAUUUUGAAUUUUAAAUUUGUAUUAUUUGAGGGUUUUAUAAAGGGGAAGCUAUAUAAAAUUGCAAUGAUGAGAACCGAAUCGAACGAGAGCGUUUAAAAGCGUUUAAUGAGGUGGAAAAAAUAUAUUAUUUUUUUCCUGAGCGGUUACCUGAGUAAUGUCUAUAAUUCCCCCAAUUCCUCUCUCAUUUGUUGUUUUUUUUUUUUUUUUUUGCUUGAAAAUAAGGAUUGACUAUUACUUUCGAUAAGAAAAUUUCUCUCUUUUUCGUUUUUUUUUUCUUUUUUGUUCAAUUUUAUCUUACAGAUAGAUUUUUAUUUUCUAUUUUUUAUUUUAUUUUAAUUUUUGUUUUAAUUGUUUUGCCUGAUAGUUUCUUUUCAAUUAAAGUAUGAACUUUAAAAUUUUAUUUAGCACAUUACAUGAGUUUGCAGUUUAAUUUUAUUUGCACAUAAAUAAUAAUAAAUUUGUGAAAUCGAUAACGUGAUUUUCUUUUCGGUAUAAAUUCACUUUUUGACGGAAAUAAACUUUAAAUUUCUCCUUUUUUUAAGGCAUAAUUUUUUUAUUAAAUUAAAUAUUUUUAUAUACUUUCUUAUCUUUUCUUGGUAUCUCAAUAUUUUUAGAUUAUGUUAAUUUUUUAUUGAUGGUAUUGAAAUUCAAAUUUAAAUUUAAUUUUUAGCUAUAUAUUUAAAUUAAAAUUUCUGAAUUUUUAAAUUAAAAUUUGAGUUUAAAUUUUAAAUUUAAAUUUAUUUUGGUAAAUUUGAAUUAAUAAAUUAAAAUUAAAAUUAAAGUGGAGUAAAAAUUCAAUUUAAUUUUUCAAUUAAAUGUGAAUUAAAAUUUGGAUAUUUUUAGUUUUAAAUAAAGAAUUAAAUUUUAAAUUCGCUAGAGUUCGAAAAAUACAUAAAUAUCCAAUAUAUAUUAAAAAAAUAGAACUAUAAUUAUUGUCUGCAGUAAUUGAGUGCGCGAUGUGGUUUCAUAUGCGAUUGUUUGAUGUCCCAUUAGGUAAGGUGCAAACUCAAAUGGACCUUGAUUGGUCGGGUUAAGCGGAUAUUGAGCAAUCAAUGUAUAUUCAUGUGAGUUGAUUCAUAUAGAGAUGAUAAUUGACACGGUUGAUAUAAUAAAGGCAUGAUAGUAGAUUUGUUGUUAACAUUUACUUUCUUUACCGCAUCCAUUAUCUAUGAAUUUGAUAUUAUGCCUCUAGUAAACCUAAUGGGUAGAACGUUUUUUAUGGUGAUUGUAUUUAUUGAAACUAUUUUAUAAAGUUCUUACGCCCUUCUGUUGGCUUUUUUUUUUUUUUUUUUAGAGUAUCCCUUGUCCUUCAUAGGUAAUCGAGGUAAAGGGAUUGCACAAUAGCUAGUCGUCCACCAUUCCUUUUGGUUUGUCUAGAGGUGAAAUCUUUUGUAGAACAAUGACAUUUCAGGAGUUGUAACGUUAGAACUAAAACUUGUUUUAGUUCAUUUGGAUUAGUAGUUGUAAUUGAAUAGCAUUUUUAUAUUUUAAUGCUCCAACUUGUACCAAAUUUCUUGUUAAAUUAUAUGAGUUGAUCAUUUUGGAUUGUCACUUCGUGUCUAUUAGGGUGGCUUGUACACACAGUGGAUUUGCAAGUUACUCGGAAGCUUUCACUCUACCCGGAGCGUGACGGUAAAAGUCACGAAGGAAAAGUGAAAAAACGAAUAUAUAUAUAUAUAUAUACAUAUAUAUAUAUAGAGAGAGAGAGAGAGAGAGAGAGAGAACUAGGCUGGAAUGUUAUUAAUAGCACAAGUCAUUGGUGCUAUUAAGUUUUCGACCUUUGGAUUAAAGAAUGUGUAGUUAGAAUAAAAGUGGUCCCCUAAGAUUGAGUGUGUGAUUGGUUGAAUAAUAUAAUCUAAUGGAUGGAAAUGGUCAAAAGAGUAAAUCUAAUGGCAGAAAAUUUAGUAGUACCAAAUGUUUGGUGCUAUUGAUAGAAUUAUAGCCAGACUCUCUCUAUAUAUAUAUAAUUUUCUAUAUUUUAGCCUAGUUAUAAAUACACUCCAAUAGUAACUAUAGGAAUAUAUAUGAUAUUUCAAACUUUACAGGACAUCUAUAACACUUUAGACUUUGGAAGAGGCAUCUAUAAAAUUGCGCCUACUAUUUAUUCGGGAUAGUUGUGCAAACCGAUUCAUUUUCAAAAAGUGAUAGCCAACUGUUUUUCACUACUUUAAGGUUCAAAUAUUAAGUGAUAGAUCUCGUUUGAUUGACAUAAUUAUUUACUGUACUCUUAUGAGUGUAGAUUUUUUUAUUCUUAUAAGUGGUUAGUUGAAUAGUAUAAUCUAACUUGUGAAAAUUGUCAAAAAAGUAGAUCUAACGGUCGAAAACUUAUGAGCAUAAAUUAAAGUGGCCUAUAUUCAUAAGAGUAUAGUAGUCGGACUCAUUUUUUUUUGUUUAAAAUAAUAUUUUUACAUGAAAUUGUGUGGAAAGGAAUAAUAAAAUUGCUUAUAUUCUUAUAUUUAGAUUGCAAUAGAAAAAAAAAAUUAAAAGUAACUUUUUAGCUUUUGUAAUUCUUUUAUAUAAAUUGUCACAUAUAAUUUGGCCAAAGAGCAAUGCUACUGGUACCUCCUAAAACGGGGUAUAUAUUUUACACCAACUCUAUCAAAGAGCUAUUAACUCUAAGGGGUUGUUUGGUUGCACGCAUUUGCAACUGUACUGCAGUUACAAAUGCAUGCAACCUUAAUUCCUGUGUUUGGUUUAAUGCAGUUGAGUCUAACUGCUGCAGUUGUAACUACACAAGAAGGUCCAAAUGCUGUAGUUGGAACUACAUCCAAAUUGGCUGCAGUUUCAACUGCAGCCGUUGGUGAGGAAUAAGAUCACCCACAAAUUAACAAUAAUAAAUAAAUUAUAUAUAUAUAUAUAUAUAUCAUAUUUAUAUAUAUAUAUAUAUAGUAUAUAGUAUAUAUAUAUAUGGAUAAAUAAAAAUAUUGUAAUAAACUCAUACUAAUAAAAUUUUUUAGGAGAUGCAAGUUCUGUGCUAAAAUUUACAUUUUUUAAAAAAUUUAUUUUAUUCAAAAUAUAAAAAAAUAAUUUUUUUUUCCUAAAUUUUCAUAGAAUAUUGAUUGCGAUAUGUCAACUUAAUAAGUUUUAAUUAAUUAUAAUUAUUAAUUUGAUUUAAAAAAUAAGAGAAUCGUUUAAAUUUUAAAGUUGAUAUAUUAUAAUUAAUAUAUUAUAUAUAUAUAUAUAUUUAAAUAAAUUUAAAAUUUUAAAUGUGUCGAUUGAUAAAGUUAACGAAUUUAUUAAAAAAUAUAAAAAUAUUAUAUAUAUCACAUUAUUUAUUUAUAGAUAGUAAAUUUAAAUGAUUAAUAAAUUUAUAUAAUUAUUUAUGUAUAGUGAAGGUAAUCUCACCACUUUAUCUAAGAGAUGGUAAGAUUCAUUAAUACAACUAUCAACUUCAAAUUUACCAAACAGAAAAAAUGCAACUGCAACAGUUGCAUCUACACAAGAAUCAAACAAAUUAUAUAUAAUUACAACUGUGAAUUUUAACUACACUGCAUUUAUAACUACAUUCAACAAACGGCCCUUAAAAUGUGAGACUGUAAAAUCUACACCGUCUUUUUAAUAUACAAGUAAACUUUUUUUUUUGACAAAGAGAUAUAUUACUGAUACAUUAAAGUGCGAAUUAAAUAUAUAUGAUAUAUAUAUAUUAUAUAUAUAUAUAUAAAUAUAAUAUAUAUUAUAUAUAUAUAUAUUUUAAGCCAUCUGCAAUAAUAAUAAUAAUAAAAGAAAAUUGCUGAGAUAUUAAAUUAUAUAAAAUACUUGUUUGAAAAAACUAAACGAUACCACAUGAUGCCCCUCUGUUUUCCCUCUCCCUCUUCACGUGCGAAGCAUAAUACGAGGAGGAAUUCUACACUGUCACACUUGUACUGCGUCAUUAAUAAUAAGUCAAUCAUAUUUUUUUUUUUUCAAAUAAAAGUAUAAUAAAAAUAUUUUUUUACAAUCGUGAUGGAACAUAUAUCUCUAAAAGAAAAAAUUUAAUUAAUUUAUGAGGCCACGUCAUCAAUGCACUCGGUGCAUUCUAGAAUUUUUCGAAUACGAGGGAGGUACUCACCCGGGCGCUCGUCCUCUGGCAUUCCUCCUCGCCCGUGCGGAAACCGAAGUAGGGCUUUAAUUAGCACCCGUUCGAGUACCCAACCAUGCAUUCAGGCACGCACGUACGUACUAUCAAAAGAGCCUAUAAAUACAUACAUAUAUACAUACAUAGGGGAGACCAUAUAUGUGCGUUGAUCUCCAAAUUAAGUCCAAAUAUCCUUGCCUUCUAAUCUCCCAUUUGCAACAAAUAUGGCUACAUCUGUUAUGCCUUGCAAUGAGACGUCCUCGUCAUGCCACCUUACGAAGGCGAGGGGAUCGCACCAGUUCAAGAUCUUCGGGUUCUCUCUAACCGAGUGGAUGGCCUCCCACGAGCACAUUGAAUCUGCGACUUUCAAUGUCGGCGGCUACGACUGGGCCAUUCAAUGCUUUCCUUGUCGCUGGUCACAAAGUAUUGCAAUUUAUGUAAUGCUCAAGAGCAAUGCCACAAAUGUGAAGGCGGUUUGCGAGCUCACGCUGCUGGACCAAAGCGGGAAACCGUCAGCGAUAAAAACUCUACAAAGUAAUCGAACCAUCUUCAACUCCCAGGGUGGACGUGAUCGUUGGGGCUAUGAUUAUUUCAUCAAAAGAUCUGAAUUGGCGAAUUAUACUAAAGAUGACUGUUUUACAGUUCAAUGCACCGUGACUGUUCUAAAACCACUGCACAUGAAACAAGGACGUGCGUGAAACAAAGGAAAAAAAAAAAAAAAGAAUUUGCAGUUUUAUAGUAUAGUAGUUUUAGACCAUAGAUUUUCUCAUAUGAUUAUUUAGUGGGUUAAAUGCAAACGGCUUACUUUUGUUAGCCGAUUUCUCUUUUUAUACUAUGUAACAAAUUAGGGUCAAUUAUGUUAGUAUUAAUAUAAUUUCAGUAAUUUAAAACUUUAAUUUUGUUCACGGAUUUUCUAAAUAGCCUAACAUUCUAUGGGCCUUGUUUGGGAGCCCAUGUUUAAAUUUUUAUAUGUCAGGACUAGUCCCAUAUUGAAAACAAAAAGUUUAUUGUUAUUUUUUAUAUACUUUCUCUUUUUCAAAUUAGUUAUUUAGAAAAAAAUAAAAGUAAUUAUCGGAGUUUCACACGUGAAGAGACAAUCUUACUUUUAGAACAGUACUUAAUAAGUCUCCACUUUCUCCUUUUAAAGAAAAUUUUUAAAAGAUUAAAGAGAUUUUUCCAACGAAGUCGUAGAAGACCUCGUCCUUCGGCAUCUACAUUAAUUUUGAACUGCUGUGAUAAGAUUUUGACUUGGAUUUAUAUAAAUAGCAAAAUUCAAUGAAUAUAAAAGAAUAACAGUUCAUUCUCUGACAACAUAGUUUAUUGUAUUGAUUAUCUAUAGAAAUAAUAAUUCUUGGGUUCCCUCCGGAGCCUCCCCGCUUUUGGCGGGGGGCUUCGGCGAGGACACCCGUUUUUUUUUUUUUUUAUUUUUUUCGGCCUUUCUCUCUGCUCUCUCAACUCUCUCUCUCCACCCCUCUCACCCGCUCGCCUCUCUCGUCUCUCUCUCUCUCUCUCUCUACUCUUUCUCUCUCUCAUCUAUGCGCUUCGGGUAGGGUGUUAAUUGGGCGUGCCGGGCCGUCACGGCCACAUUUUUGGCUGAAACGGGCGCAGGCUAGGCCGACACGGCCGGCCCCAACAUCGGGCCUUUGGCCGUGCCGGCCAAAGUUUUUGAAACCCGGCCCAGCACGGCCCUUCCGGCCUCGGACUGCGAGUGGGCCGUGCCGGGCCGGGCCGGACUAUCGGCCAGCACCUUUUUAUUCUUAACUUAAUUUAUAUUUAAAAAUUUAUAUUAUUUUAAAAUAAAAAUAAAAUAUUCAAUUUUUUUAAAAAAUAAUAAUCAGUAAAAAAAAUUAAAAUAUUUUAAAAUAUAUUAUAAAAAUAUUAAAUUUCUAUAAAUUAUUUUAAAUUUUUAUUAAUUUGGGACGGCUUGAAAAUACCUCCUCCCAACAGUCAAAGGAAGGUCAUUUAUAGUCAAGCCACCCAACAAACCCACCACAACCCAAUCUUUGACUUUGGCGAGUCCCAAAGCUCACAGCCACAGCCCAAUCGCAAUCAUUGGGAAGUUGUGCUCUCCCAAAGCAUUGGGGACGUUGUUGCAGCCUUCUGAGUUAUACCCAACUCCAAGACCCCUGCCUGGGCCCGGCUCGGGAGGGCCCAGCCACAAGGGCGGGCCGGUCGUCCGGGCGCGGCCUGGGUACCCUCUAGGGCCGCACCGGCUAGCCUAUGUCGUUGCCGGGCCCGUGCCGCGCAUAGCGCGCCGUGGGAGCAGGCCCAGCACGCCCGAUUUAACUGGCCGGGCGGGGCCGGCACGGCACGCUUACCGGCACGCUACAGUACUCGUGCCGUGCUGGCGCGCACUCCGUGCGGGCCGCCCGGCCGUUGACACCCUACUUGCGGGGGGUGCGUGUGCCCGACAUGGCCAGCCGCCCCCCCCGCCCAUCGGCUCUCUCUUCACUCUCUCUCCCCCUUCUCUCCUCUUUCCCACCCAGCCCCCUCCCCGGCUCCCACCUCUCUCUCUUCUCUCAUCUCCACGCGAUCGCGCGCGACAGCGCCCAGCGGAUUAGUCGCGCCGCGGCCCACGCCCUGCGCGUGACCCGCCCCGCAUUCGCGCCGAGAUAGUGGAGAGAGUGCAAUGAGGAGCAGAGCUUCUCUCCCCCCCCCGCCCCCCCCCCCCCCCCCCCCCCCCCCCCCCCCUCCACCCUUUACCUUCCCUCCCAGGCGCGAGCGGCGGCAGCGCGCGAGGGUGCAGGAGCGAGCGGGGGCAGUGCGGGCCCCCCGGCUCUACUCUCUCUCUCCUUCCUAUCUUCCUCUCCCCAGCGCGAGCGGGCAGCACGAGCGGGCGCUGUCGCCAGCGCGGGGCGCGGGAGGGGGGCGGCCCCAGGCGCGGUCACAGGUGUGGUCGCAGUCGCAGGCGCGGGCUGGCGCGGGUCCUCUCUCUCUUCUUCUUCUCUUUUUUUUUUCUCUUUUCUAAUUUUUUUAAUUAUUUUGUAUUGCUGUCGACAAAAAAAUAAAAAUAAAAAUAAAAAUAAAAUCUAAAAUUUAAUUUUAAAUUAAAUUUUAAAUCCGAAUCCGAACUUGAAUCCGAUGGAUUUUACAAAUCGAUAUCCAAAUCCGAACCCGAUCAAGAACUCCGAAACCCGGCCCCGAAAAUCCUAACCCGCAAUAAUAUUUAAAUAAUUUUUUUAAUUUCUCUCUCUCUUCAAUUUUUUUGAAGCUUAAAAUUUAAAAUUAGAUUUAAAAAUUAAAAAAAUUAAAAUUUUAAAAAUAUUUUAAAAAUUGCGUAAAUUUUCCGUCACGAAACGCGGGCCUUCACUAGUUUUAUACGACGAUAGAGUAGAUGGUACUCACUUGAAAUCUCAUAGAUUUGCUAGUUAAAUUAAAUUAUUUUCAAUUCAACUGAACCAAAUAGUAAUAAAUAAAACUUCUUUAAAAAAGAUUUUUCUGUCUUAAAAGUUGUUUCCAUAAGAAAAAUAUUACUUAUACACCUAGUAGUAGGGUGUACAGUAGUCUCUAGACAUUUGUCGUAAUUUCACUUGGGCUUCUAUUGUUGUAAAACAAACUUAAAAAGCUCCCUAAACUUGUAAUAACGUACGUGUCAAGUUAAUCUGUUCUAUUAUCUAACUUUAAAUUUAUUGACAAAAAAGGACAUAGACAGUAAUAAGUCAACAUUUUCUGACUAGAAAUUUUACAUGGAAAAAUUUAUUUUUACCUGAAAAAGAUAUUUGCUAUUAAAAUAUAGCUUUAAUAUGAAAAGUUUAACCACCUAUUUUAUUAAAUGAUAAGCUCAAACUGUGUGUUCAAAAAAUCACUUGCACGAUAUUCAGAUUAUUAUUUCAUCAGUAAAACAACCGUCCGAUGACAAAAUGAACCAAUUUGGUAUAUGUAUAGAAGUUUAGAAUGCAAAAAAUUUAUCUAUCUACGCCACAGUGUGCUUCUCUGCCUUCAAUAAGUCUAUUGGAGGAUUCGAGGGAGGAAGGAGAGGGUUAGGGUUACGAUUUUUGAAGCUAAUGCGUGUGGAGACUAGAGUUGGGAUGUCAAUGGAUAUGGAUAUCCAAAAUUUUAUCUGAACCCAAACCCGAAUGAAACGGAUAUAUCCGAUGGAUAUGGAUAUGGAUUCGGAUAUGGAUAUAAAAAAUAGAAACCUGACGGAUAUGGAUUCGAAUAUGGAUUUUGAUUGUACCCGACCCGAACCCGACCCGAACCCGAAUUUAUUUUGUAUUAUAUAUAAUAUAUAUAUAAAAAUUUGAUUAUAUUUGAAUUUGUAUUUUAAAAAUUUAGAUUUAAUAUAAUAUAUUUUGAAAUAUUGAAAAAAGAAAUAAAUGUUUCGGGUUCAAAUUUUCGGGUUCGGGUUUCGAAUUUUUGAUCGGGUUCGGGUUUGGAUAUGGAUUUUUAAAAUCUGUCGGGUUCGGGUUCGGGUCUCCGGUUUGGAGUCGGGGGGUUUGGAGUCGGGUUCGGGUUCGGAUUUUUAAAAAUCUGCCUCGAAUUCGACCCGUUGACGUCUCUAGACUAGAGGGGUUAAUGUCAUGUAGUUUAAAGCAAAAAAUCAAAAGCAGCAUUUAUCGUCUUAAAAAUGUGCAAAGUCAUUUAUUGAGGGGUCGUUUCAAAAUUUCUGUUCAAACAAAGUAUCUAGACAAAAAAAAAAAAAAAAGAAAAAAGAAAAAAUUUCUCAAUUUCAAAACUUGACUAUAAUGUGUUGAUACAUCUACAUAUCACAAAUAUAUUGUUCUGAAAGAAAGAGAGUACUGGGAAAAAAAAAGAAAAAAAGAGAGAGAACACAAGAAGGAAGUAGUUUUUUUUUUUUCCAUUUUAUAAUUCUGCACAUAAUUCUUAUUUAUUUUACAAUAUAUACUUUACUAUUUAAUUUCUAGAUAAUAUACUCUUAGAGAUGGUUUGGCUUCUCAGAAAGUGUGAAAGAAAGUUUUCUAAAACAAAAAUUUUAUAAAAAACUUAUUUUUCAGUUUUUCGUUCAUUUGGCUCUAAGAAAAAUUAAUAUUUUUGAAAAGUAUUUUUUUCAGAUUUUAUAGAAAACUAACGUUUUCAUUUUUCAAAAAAAUUUUGAAAAACGAAAACAUUAAAUUUUCAUAUAUUUGUAAAAAAGCUUUUCAAAAUAUUUCAUUUUUUUGGAACCACAUAGAUUUAAAAUUAAAAAAAUGUUUUCCGUAAAAAAAAUAUUUUUUUCAAAAUCUUUUUUUAUACCUUUUUGAGAAACCAAACAGCCCCUCAAGGACAUGUUUGGCGCCUGAAUUAGAGGUAUAUUAGAUUGUAUUUAGGCUUCGUUUGGGAUUGUGGGUGUAACGUACGGUGAAAAAGUAUGAGGAGAAAAUAUCCUGUUUAUUUUCGUACGUAAUAUUGCGUUUGUUUGUUGCGAAAAGUAUGUUAUGAUAUAUUUUCUGCGGUCCUAGCGGAAAACACAGAAACAUAUCGCUAUAUGUUUUUUCUCUAAGGCUUAGUUUGGUAUUGAGCUCUAUCUAACGCUACUAGAUAAAAUGGAGUUGAGAAAAAAGUAUAUAGGGAUAUACUUCUGCGUUUUCCGAUGGGACCGCAAAAAAUAUAUCGUAACCGACUUAUCGCUAUAUACAGAACGCAAUAUUACGUACGGAAACAAACAUGAUAUUUCACUGCACGUAACGCAAUCUCCCCGCAAUCUCAAACGAAACCUAACUCUAUUUUAUCUAACAGCAUUAGAAAAACCUCAAUACCAAACUAACCCUUAAUCUGACGGGCUGCUAAUCCCAUGAUAGACUGAAUCCAUUUGAGCGAAUUAAUCCUGCUUGGUUGAGAGAUUACUGAAUCCUUAUUAUGUGUUUGGGUCGGGAUUGCACAGAAUUGGACUCGUAAGUUCUCUGAUUUUCUAGGUCCACUCAAUCACUUCCUACUCAUGAAAGAGGAAGCCCUUCUCCCCAUUCAUCUUUGUCAAAUUCAAAUUUGAAUUAAAUUCAAAUUCAAAUUUAUAUUUAGAUGUUGAAUUGAAUUAUAAAAUUUAAAUUAAAAAGUUGAAUAUAAAUUUGACAUUCGAAUUCAUGUUUUAAAUUUAAAUUUUGAAUUCCAAUUUAUAUUUUUAAUUCAAAUUUAAGAUUUUAAAUUUGAACUUGAAUUCAAUUUCGAAUUGAAAUUCAAGUUUGAAUUCAAUUUUAAAUUUCAAAUCAAAAUUUUGAAUUAAAAUUUAAAAUUUAAAUUCAAAUUUUGAAUUCAAAAAUAAAAUUCAAAUUUAAAUUUAAAUUUCAAAUAGAAAUUCAAAUUCAGACUUGGAAUCCAAAAUAUUAAUUCAAAUUCAAAAUUAGACAUUCCAUUGAAAAAUAGUUAUUGUUAAACUGAGCUGUGGAUGUAAAAGAAUUUAGUAUUGACAAAUCCAUUUCCAUCGGAAAAAAUAUAUAUAUUGUUAAAAUGGGCUGCUGCGUUGGGUUCGGGGGAUAUCCCCAAUUUGUAUGCAAAUAGCUAAAAACUUAGGUGGAACAAAUUGUUUAGAUCAAAACGGAUUGUUAUGAAACGAUCCAUUAAUUUCUGAUGAGAGAAUAGAGAACAAUUUUAUUUUUUUCUUUAUUUUAUUAGAUAACUAGAUAUAACAUAAAUAUUAUUUUUAUGAUAAUAUAUUUUUACUUAAAUCUUAUUAGACCAAUUUGCAUAAAAAAUUCACUAGGUUUGACUGGGCUGCCUUUUGGAUUUUGCAGAUUCGGGCCAAAUUUUUCGACUGACCAAACUCUUGUAUAUUUUUUUCUCUUCUUUUUUUUUUUUCUUUAGUUCUUUUUUUUUCUCUCUCCCCGGACGCUUUGCCUUUAUCCGGCGCAACCUUACCUUCGCCCAAGUACCCCUGCCUUCCUCGCCUCUGACCCCGAGGCCAUAUUGUGACUUUUUUUUUUUUCUCUUCGACUCUCCUCCAAAUCCUCCCGGCUCUUUACAACAGUAAAGAGGGUAAUGCAGCGUUCUCUUCCUCUCGUUUUUUUUCGCUCGCUUCGUGUCGGCGAAGGCGGAGUAAGAAAACGCGAUCCUAUCUUCCUUACCAUCACGAAGGAUCACAGAGGCGGUGGAGGGGGGUCAAAGAGAAAAAAAAAGGAGCGAGCAAAAAAAACGAGAGGAAGAAAAUGCUGCGUUAUACUCUUUACUUGCGUAAAGAGCCAGGAAAACGAUAGAGGAGCGUCGGAGAGAAAAAAAAAAAAAAAAAAGAAAAACAAGGUCGUGGGCGAGGGUAAGGGUGCGCCGGACAGAGGCGAGGUGGGCCGUCUGCGCCUGCGCCUCCGCCGCCCUCUGGGUAGGGAAAAAAAAACGAGAAAAAAAAAUAGAGGAGAGAGAGAAAAAGAUAUAAGGAUAUUUUGAUCAUUUUUCUGAAAAUUCGGUUUAAAUCUGCAAAAUCCAAAAAAGUGGUCUACGAAAAAUAUUCUUCAGAAUAUUCCUAUAAAAAAUAUAUUAAUAAAAAAUAAAUUAUUCUAUUUUUUAAAACUUAUUUAAAUAUUAUUUUAAAUUUUUUAUCCAAGCACUACAAAAAAUAUUCUUCAGAAAUAAAAAUUUAUAGUUGUUUUAACUAAUACCAAAAUUUUUACUGCUAUGGAGAAUAAUAAAAAAUAUUUUUUAAAAUUUAAUUUUCGAAUCAAACGUAGUCAAAAAAAUGUUAAGUGGAUGUUUGGAAUGAUAGUAUUUAGAUUUUCAUUUCGUUGGUAAUGUUAAGUGGAUAUUUUUUUCGUUGGAAUGAUAGUAUUUAGAUUUUCAUUUGAAGCUCGACACACUGCUAAUGCAAAUUUGACCAGUCAACGUCGAGCAGAUUAAAAUAUCCUAGUAAAGCCAAAGAAAUAAAAAAAAUUAUCUAGAUAUAGGUACAAAUUCAAAGAACAGAGACUAAUUCAAGGAAUGUACGGUAAAGCAUGUAGAGGGGGAAGGGUUGAUACCUUCGCAGCAAAAGACAGAGAGAGAAGUAAAAGGAAGGGAAGGAGAAAGAGAAGGAAAUGCUUCCAGAAGAGAGAUAGAAGGUAAGUGAAAUGUGAUUUGGAGAAUAGCAGCUGGGGUUCAGUUUACUUAUAUUUUGUUCAUAUAUUAGUUUAAUCAUUUUUGUGUCUGAGAUUGUGGAGAGAUAGAUUUGGGGGAUUUGGGGGUUUGUGGUUCCUCUGAUCUCAAUAAUAACCUAUUUAUAAGUAAAGAUUAGUUUGAUCUUAGAAUCCAUACUCGCAAUUGGACUCUCCAUGGCUGCUUCUUCUUCUUCCUCUUCGUCGGCGCUGGUGGCGGAGGCGGUGAGCGGAUCCCACCGGUUCAAGAUCUCCGGCUACUCCCUGCUGAAGGGGAUCGGCUCCGGGAAGCGCUACGACUCCGCCACCUUCACCGUCGGCGGAUUCGACUGGGCCAUCCAGUGCUACCCCGGCGGCAAAUCACAGGAUGACGCAGAUUACAUCUCUCUGUUCGUCAUACUUGCCUGCGAAGCCAGGGACGUAAAAGCGCAGUACAAGAUCGCGCUGUUGAACCACGGGGGGAUCCCCUCGUCGACGACUCCGGCGGAUUCCGAGCAACGCAGCUUCCCGUGCCGCGGCCAGGGCUGGGGCUUCAGUCGAUUUAUGAGAAGGGCCGAUCUAGAGGCGUCCCAGUAUCUUAAAGAUGACUGUUUCAUAGUUCAGGGCACUCUGAACAUCAUAAAAGAGCCGCGGCUGGAAGUCCCUAUGGCUCGGUCCGACUUGCACCUGCAUCUCCUGCAGCUGUUGGAGAGCGGAGAGGGGACCGACGUCGCGUUUGAAGUCGCGGGAGAGACUUUCGCGGCGCAUCGGUGGCUUCUCGCCGCGCGGUCGCCGGUUUUCAAAGCGGAGCUUCUCGGCCCGAUGAAGGAGAAGAGUAUGCAGCGCAUACAGAUCGAAGAUGUGGAAGCGGUGGUGUUCAAGGCGUUGCUUCGUUUCAUCUAUUCGGACUCGGUCCCUGAUCUGACCGAGGAGCUCACGAAGGAGUCUCCAGCUCUAAUGGCUCAGCAUCUGCUUGCUGCUGCAGAUCGGUACGGGUUAGAGAGGCUGAGGCUAAUCUGCGAAGACAAGUUAUGCGAGCAAGUCGACGUCAGCACAGUGGCUACCACCUUGGCUCUGGCAGAACAGCACCGCUGUGGCCGACUCAAGGCUGCUUGCCUCGAGUUUGUUGCCUCCCCUGAGGUGCUUAUUGCCGUCAUGCUUACUGAUGGAUUCGAGCACCUAAAGAAAAGUUGCCCGCUGGUACUGAAUGAUCUCGUGGACAAGUUCGGUUGCCUCUCUUAUUCCAUUCGGAAGGAGCAAUCGGAGAACAAAAAUUGAGAGGUGAUAUUGAAUAUCAUGUCGCUUCCGACUCUAAAUAUUGCAGUGCAUCUGGUUGCAUAUUUCCAAUUUUACUGACGGUAUUGCUCAAUUAUGAAAUCAGCAUGUUUCCGACUCUAAAUUAUGAAUUAAGUAACACGAUCCUUUGGUUUGAUGAUAGAUAACCGUUGAAUUGUUGUUCAUGCAUGCCUCACAUUAACCAAAUCGCCUUAUUUGAUGUUCUUUCAUAGUGUUGUCGCUUUCGCCAAGUUAUUGUUAGAGAUGAAAACAGUUGGAUCUCACGAGAGCUAUGGUGCAUUUUGAAACAUUAUAAUAUAAUUUUUUUUGUAUUAUGAUCUGACCUCACAGAGUGUUUGGUUUAACUAUUAGUACUGCAAACCUAAGUACAUUUUUUAGAUGGAGUACUUUUUAAUCUAACAAAAACUUUUGUUAUAUCUAUUUAAUGGAAACUGGUAAGUCCAAACAGAGCUCGAUGCCAGGAAGUUUGAGGUAGUAAAAAUAAAAUUUUGAAAGGUGAGGUACCCGUAUCAAAAUGAGCAAUAUUUUAGUAAGGCCUAUAUUCUUUCAUCUUUUUAAAUUGUGGUGUACUAUCUUGUGCUGAACUUAGGAACUGUGAGCAUAAUCUCUUUACAAGAAGCAUCCUCUUACUCUUUACUUGUGUAUCUAUAGACUAUUACCUUUCCAUUCCUUUUCAAUCAUCAGUUGGAUGAAUUAUGAUUGAUACUGUUUGCUUUAACCUCCUUUGUUGCAUCUGCAAACUAACUGUUAAAACAUCUUAAGCAUGCUAAUCAUAGGCCAACUAAAUUAACUGUGCACCAAAAUGAAAACAGAUUAAAGAUCUAGAUUAGCAAACUGUUUUUGACAGCAUCAGUAUCUGCCAAGUGCUACAAUUGGAAUGUGUGGAGCCAAAGCUUGAAGUGAAUGUUGUUGUCAAAUCUGAACUUAGGGCAUAUUUAGUUUAUGAUUGGAAUAGGAAUAGAAAAAGAAAUAGGAUUGGAUUGGAAUGAAAAAUGUAAUGAAACAUCUAAAAAUAUUUGAUUCAUUAUUGUAACGGAAAUCGGAAUGGACACUUAGAAUUUUGAGGGUUUUAGUUAAGAAAGAGAGAAGAGCGAUGAAGGGAGAGGGGAGGAGGGAAGGUGUUUGUGAGAGAGGGGUUUAAGUGACUGUUUCCGAAAUAGGCCGAUUCUCAAUUCAAAAUUGGAUUGGAUCAUAAAUAGAUUGGAUUAUUCUCAUUCUAGAGUGGAAUGAAAAUCAUAAUCUGAUUUUUGUAAAAUAACAACCAACUAUCGAAAUCAGUAAAUAUUAUUCUAAUUGCAUAGUCUAAAAUAAAUGAACCCACGGACGAAGUCAGGAUUCAAGCUUCGAGAGGCCAAAAAAUCCUGUAAAUUUUGAGCAAUCAAAUAUAACAUUUUUCUAGCAUUAAACUCGGACAAAAUUUAUAAACUGUAAAAAUAAUGCAAAAUCUAGUAUUUCAUGCAUCUUGAUCAACAAUAAAAAGAGAAAAUAAGAUAAAAGUGGCUUACCACUAGACUAGUGAUUUGUAAUUUGGGUUUCAUACAAAAGAGUAAUAGCUAAUGAAUUGAAUAGAGUUUCUACAUUUAUCUGAUAACCGCAAGAGUUUCUUAGAAGUACCCUUACUCUUCUUGUCCUUUACAUGUAGAGAAGCUCUCUCUUGUACGAAUUUUUUCUUUCACAAUUCACUUAUUAAGAUUUAGUCCCUUCUAUAUGCCUGUUUUUUAGGUUGUUUGAUGAUUAGUAUUUUCAAAUGAUGCAUAGAAUAUGCAUGAGGUUAUAACAAUUUACCAAAAAAUUUUAAAAAAAAUCUAUUCAGCAGAAACAAUGUUAACAUCGUAGAGAAAAUAUUAUUCUAUUGUCGUGUAUUGUGCAUAUUACUUGCUAGUGUAAGUAAAUAAGAUAAUCUUCUUAGAAAUUUCACGAGGUAGAUAAUAUCGUGAGCAUCCAUAUGGGAAUCAAAUCAAAUGACCACGAAUUCUUACCUCGAAUCUACAGAAAUCUCAAAGCAUCGCCAAAUAAAGCACUAAUGACAUGACAAAUAGGAUAAAAAAAUAUAUAAUAAAAAGGUGAUUUUGAAGGAGCUCACAUUCUUAAGAUUUUUGCUAAAAUUUGGUUAUAACUUAUAAGUAGCUAAUCUGUUAAUUAUUUCAAUUUGAAUAGAUUGUUCACCAAAAUUGCAGCUAUAGAAAGUUGAGGCUAUUGAACACUAUCAAAGAGUAUUUAUUCGCCUACCACCGAGUAAACCGAUCUAGUGUCAAACAGCGAGCAACCCUUAAUUUCAUUACCAGUUUGGAGAAAAUAUGGACUAAAUUCAGCUUUAAAGAACAAAUUUUUGGCACAAGACAAUUCAUACUUUAUCUUGCAUGAAUAAAGAGUUAACAAUUCUUCAGUUAUAGUAUGAUAUACAAUGUAAUUAGAAUCACAUCAUCAAGCAAAAUUUCCAGCAAUUUAAAGAAUAUUAUAGUAGAUGGGGCAAGAUGCUGUGAAUGCUCUCUGUUGCUACUUCUUAGCUUAGUUUCAUGUUAAAAAAAUUCUCGUCAAUGUUNUUUAUUUAUGCUCCUAACCAAACCAAACUAUACCGAGAAAAAAAAAAAAAAAAAAAAAAAAAAAAAAAAAAAAAAACUUUCCACGAAUCAAUCAGCUGCUUGAGCCUUCUCCCCGCUAAAAUAGGAUCUAUCUGUAUUCCGCGAAAGAUAAAAUUAUUCCUGGCCUUCCAGAUGGUCCACCAGCAUGCAGCCAAAUCAGUCAGUCCGUUCUGCGUGCUGUGUUCAUCAUACCUUCCCUUCCACCUAUCCUAGAUAGCGAGAACGUCUUCACCCAACUCCCCUGCCCGAACUUCCUCGAGUCCCGUAACCAUGAUAUACUUGAUAAAUACACAUUGGGUGAACAGGUGAUCCACAGAUUCCUCGUUAACCCUGCACAACACACAAGCCUUGUCACCAGUCCAUCCUUUCUUAACGAGGUUGUUAGCUGUAAGUGUCCUCUUCUUUAGAACAAUCCAGCAGAACAUUUUGAUCUUGAGUGGCAUACGGAGCCUCCAGAUCAUAGUGCCACGUUUGUCCCUCGUGCCACCGUCUAUCAUCAUUCGAUAGGUCGACUUGACUGAGAAUAUACCAUUGCUCCCCCAUCUCCAUCCUAUCCUGUCCUCCCUUUGUCCUAUAUGAAAUCUAGUAACUCUCUCUUUGAGGUCCGAAAUGUUGAUGUUCAGGCCCGGCGGCAUAAGAGACUCGCCGCCCAAGAUCCUACUCCAAAUCCAGCCAUCACUUCCAAAGCAAUCCCUAACCCGGGUUGAUUUACUGUUCAGCCGCCCAUAAACUUCUGGGAAAGCUGCUUGAAGUGUGGUAUCCCCACACCAUCUGUCCAGCCAAAAAUCCACGGAUCUCCCGUUACCCAGUAUAAAGCUGGUCCCCCAUUUAAAAAUAUCGUUAGUGGUUAACACCCAUUUCCACCAGUUUGAGAGAGGCCUAAAUCCUCUACCCUCUCGCAGGGGCCUUCUUCUACGGUAAUAUAGAGCCCAGAUUAUCUUGGUCCACUGCAAGUGAGGUACAGUAUGAAAUCUCCAUCACCAUUUGACUAAUAGCGCCCUAUUCAUGACUGCUACAUCUAGAAUGCCUAAUCCGCCUGCCGAUUUGCUCACACAAACGUUCUUCCAUGCAACAAGGCACCCCUUGCCCGAGGAGAUACUUUGACCACUCCAGAAGAAAUCUCGGCGCAAUGCUUCAUUGGGGGCCUUAAACACUGAUAGAAAGUAUAUUGGUAUAUUGGUGAUCACCGCAUUGACCAGUGUAAGUCUACCUCCUCUUGAGAGUAGUUUGGCCUGUCAUCCAUCAAUUCUGUACUGCAGUUUCUGAAUAACCCCUCUCCAUACCUCCUUUGUGGGAGGUUUUGGUGAGAGGGGGAACCCUAAGUAGGUGGUGGGGAAUGAACCAACUUUGCAAUUGAGCAAUUGCAAGUCUUGCUGCUUUACCCUCAGUUCGUCCCAAGUAGUAGAGCUCGGACUUUUCUCUAUUGAUUCUCAAUCCAGAAGCCCACUCAAACAAGUGUCACAUCAGUCUUAGAUUAUCGUUUACUGGCCACGGAGAAAAAGAAGGUGUCAUCCACAAGCUGUGUAAGUACUGUUGUUCACUCAUCAGAAGGGCCUAUACCCUGACAAGGUUGUUUGAAGCGGCCUCACUGGUCAACAUGGCAAGGCACUCUGCCACCAACAAAAAGAGGAAUGGUGAGAGUGGAUCCCCCUGUCAUACCCCUCUCUUAGUUUUGAUCCAGUUAGUCGCCUCUCCGUUGACUAAGAUAGCAACCUUAGUAUUACAUACACAUUGUCCGAUCCAGCCACACCAUUUCGCGUCGAAGCCCCACCACUGGAGGAUACUGAAAAGGAAGGGCCAAUAAAUCCUAUCGUAAGCCUUUUCAAAGUCCACUUUUAUGCCGACCCCUCCUAUAGCCUUCUUAUAGCCCGAUCCAAUAAGUUCUCCAUCGGUGAUAAACGCGUCGGAGAUGUUUCUCCCUUGCAAGAAAGCAAGGGUUUAAAGCAAAGCUUGCAAAAUUGUAAUAAAAGUUGUAUUAACAAACUAAUCACCAGGUGUGUUUUGAAAAUAAAAUUUGGAUUAAAUUUCUUCUGAAAUUUAAAUUUAAAAUUUGCUUGAGUUUUGUGAUGAAUUUAAUUUAAGAUGGGAUGCUUAUUUAUUUAUUCUUGUGUGUGUGUGUGUGUGCGCGCGCGCAGGAAAUUGAGGUGAAUUUGAUAAUUAUUGAUAAUUUCCUAACUGGAAUGACUGGAUAUGAUCUUCUAAAGAAAAUCAAGGUAUCAUUUUUUUAUGCUUAAUUUGUAACAACACUUACAACUACAUUAAUUUUUUAUUUUCAAGUAUUUUUCCAAAUUACAAAUAGAAAAUAUAGUAAUUUUUGUUUUUUUUUUCAAAUAAGUAUUUUCCUUUCAAAACAUGAGAUCAAAGAUUGAUCUUAACCCCCAAAACUAACUGAUUUAUGUAAAGUAAAAAUGUAUAAAACUUGCUAGACUACUACCAAUUUUAAUUUGACUGUUUAAUCUUCAAAAAUUUUAAUUAUGCUGUUCAGGGUUUAGAGUUUAGCUUGCCUUAAAAUAUCUAGAGAGCUUAAAAUAUUCAGUCUUUAAGGCAUGCCUCGACUACUGCAGUUACAUAAUAAGGUUUGUGAGGCCUAUUCUGAGACUUCGGUGGUAUUGUUCGGCAGUUAAGAACAGAGGUUUUGCCAAUAGAGCAGUAAGUAUAACUACCUAUGCUGUGAAUUCCUAAAUAACUUGGAUUACAUUUUUCGUGCUUAUGACUAUCUCUUGAUUUCCUUUUCUAAAUGCUUCUUAUAUUAUGAUAUAUUGUUGUUUGUUAUUCUUACUGUUUGAUCUUUGACUCCUAUUGAAAUAACAAAUUUUGUUUUGGGAUAUGAAUAACUAUUGCUUCAGUUAAGUUUUUUACGUCUUUUAUCAUUUGCUUCACUCAGGGAUAAAUAUCUAAUGAAGUAGUAACUUAUUUUUUUCAGUCCGCAAUUUAAAUUAUGACAUGAUUCAUAUGGCGUGAUUCAUAUUACUAAAUGUUUAUUAUAGUAAAUAGCUGCUAUGUUUUAGUUUUAAUUGGUUGAAGAGUAAAGGAUUCAAAUAGUUAUGACAAUUUAUUAAUAACUAGUGCAGGACCCGCGCUUCGGGACGGAUAGUCAAUUAAACUAUAUAAUUAUUAAAAUUUUACGAUUAAAAAAAUUAUUUAGUACAUUACAAAAAAUAUUUUUUUAUUAAUAUUUUCUUAAUUUUUGAAUAAUUAUAUUAUUCUAACAAUUUUAUGCAGUAUCCCUGGUGGUUAGUAAGCUGUGGAAUUACAGCAUCUGAGACUUGUUGACACAUCUGGAGAGUGUUAAGACAAGUCCGAGACGUUUUGAAGCAAAAUGGACGCAAAACGGACUCAGCGCGACGCGAGAGCAGAGUUCUAACACUGAAAUCGGCAAAGUGCAGAUUUCAGUACUGCGUACCGGUACCACACAGGGGAGUACCGGUACCCCAUUAUAGUUUUUCCGACUGCUGCGCUCUGGUUGCAACUUCUGUCGUGGGGUACCGGUACGAUAUCGGCCUGAUACCGAUACUCCAGGGUAGGUGAGGGGCUGUUUGGUCUUUCGACUGUCUCGUUGUUUUCAUCCUUAUCCCCUUUCCUUUAUAAACAUAUAGAGAGGCUGAGAGGGGGGUUUUCUUGCACUUCCCUCUCUCUCUAGUUCUUGACCGUGAGCAAGGGGAGGCUUCGGGUGGAGUUCGGAUCGACGCCGACAUCGUGUCGGAGAGCCGGUCGAGCACACGGGCGUCGUGGUUGCAUCGUUGGGAGGUCGGGCGAGCGUGUGGUUCCUCUCCUAUCGACUUCUCGUCGGAAUUGGAUUAGCUUUCGAGGUGGGUUGAUGUUAAGCUACCGGAAUUUUCGGAUUUCCUCCUAAGCCUAGUUGAUGUCAGCAUGUAUUUUGGUCUUUGUAUAUUAUGUUAAUUAGCUCGAAUUCGUUAAUUUGCCUGCUCAUUGAAAUAUGAAUUUGGAGCAUAAAUAGUGAUUUAGAUAAAUUAUAUAUGUUGGAUUUGGAUUUGAGUUAGGAGAAAACUAACGAUUCUAUACCGUCAUUUUCCAAAAUUAUCAGAUUUAGCUCUAAUAACCGUAGUUUGUUUGUAUCGCCGCAGUUUAUGGGCGGUGAAUACCCAGAAUAGUGUAGAAUGCAUUUACGCUUUUGCUGGGAUGCCGAGUUUAUUUUCACAGUAAUGUAUAAACUGUUCCGGACUGUCGGGUAUCGUUGUGGUUGACGGUAGACCCAGAUUGCUAUUGUUGCAUCGGAUUGUGCCGAGGGCACGUAGAUUAUGGUUGUUAGACUAGCUAGACCUUUCUACUUUGAUUACAGCCUGUGAGAGCCUGAUUCAGCUCGAUAGAGAUACGCUUGUAUACUCGGUUGGGUAGCGCCCACGAGUGCCACUCCGGAGUCGGGCUUUGUACUUUUGCGUUGUUGUCGGUUGUCCUGGAUAGACUUGCUCUCCACUGACGACCCAGCGUGGUGAUGGUUAGUGUAGUUUCGGCAGGCGGGACGAGUGUGUUCAUAGUCUCUAGUGAGAUUGGGUCAGAGGUUUUAUUUUCUACAGAUAGUUAGUGUUAGAUCGUGAUAAGAUAGUGGCAUAUAGCUGUAGAUUUUUGUGCAGCUUCCUUUACUAUCCUUGAGCAUACUUCUAUAGACUUAGUGGGUGAGUCGUUGAGGUCGGUAGCAGUACCCACUGAGAACUACUUCUUUUUGCAAUAGUUCUCACACCCAGUUGUUGACCCAUUUUGCAGAGCCUUCUUCUGCGGCUGCUGCUACUGUUGAUCUGGACAGUGGAAAGAGAGUCGCGAGUUAGAUCCUUUCUAGAGUUGUUGCUGAUCUAGAGGAGUACCAGCUUCAGGUAGUGCUAGUUUUUUGUUCUUGUACAUACAGAUGUUAGAGCCUCGCUGGAGCGAGUGAUUUUGUAUUUGGAUACUAUGUAUGUAUAAUGAACCGUUGUUAGUUGUUUGUUUGUUUGUUUUUCAGUUUAGUAGCUCUAUACUACUAAUUGUAGUUUUGUAUGAUUGUAUGUACAGGUACAGUUAUCGUUUCGUAUACAGAAAAAUUUUCUUUGUAUACGGCGGAUUUGUCGGCGUGCCAGGAAAAACGAGUAAUCCGGGGCAUGACAUUUUUUUUAAAAAUUAAUCAAAUUUAAUAGUUUUAAAAAUUGUUCAAUAAAUAAUUUUUUAAACUAAAAAAUAAAAAUAUGAAUGUAUCACUUAGCUCUACAGAUUUAGUUAGUAUAUUUUAUGCGAUGCUCAAAAUUGAAUUUCGUAAAAUAUAAAAUUAACUUAAAUUCUAUCAAUAUUUCUUUUAUUUUUUAAUCUACAAUCUAUAUCUAAAUACCAAAUAUUAUAAAAUAAAAAUGUAUAUUUAAUACAAAUAGUUUAAACUAUUAAAAAAUUAUUUAUAUAUUUUAAAUUUUUAUAAUAACAAAUAAAAAAUAAAAUUGGACUUAAAAAAAGAUUAUAAUUUUUUUCCCAUAUAUAAAGAGAAAAAAAUUUGAAGUUAAAAAAAAAAAACCUCCACUCUCCACGAGUUGGGCUCCGCCCAAACAGGGCCAACCUACGCGCGAGCGCCCGCGUCAACUCGCGCCCCGUCCGGCCCGCGACUCGCGCUCUCAUUCGCCCCCGCGCCUGUGCCGGCUUGCCCCACGCCCGCGUCCGGGCCGGCCCACGCCCGCGCCCGUCGUAUGCCCACGCCGUCGCCCGAGCCCCGCUCCUCCGUCUCUCGGCNNNNNNNNNNNGCGCCCGCCCCCGCUUGCGCCCCGCGCCUGCGCCCCUCUAUCCCAUGUGGCUCUAGGUGGAGCGAGAGAUUUAGAAAGAGAAGGUUGGAAUAGAGAGAGGUUCGGAUGAGAUGGGAGAGAGAGUGUUGGGUGGAGGAGGGAGGAAGAAAGAGAGAGAGCCACCUGGAGGCGACGGGAAGAGAGAGAGAGACCCGGUUAGGAGAAGGGUAGAGAGGGGGGCAUCUUGAGAGUAGGGGAGAGAGAGAGACCAAGUGGAGGGGUGAAGAGGAGGGGGUGGGUGUGGAGAGAGAGGGGGCAAGUUGGCAGGGAAGGUGAAGAAAGAGAGUCGGUCGGGGGUGAAGGGGGGGAGAAAGAGGGGGCUAGCUGGAGAGGGGUGAAGAGAGAGAGAGAGAGAGAGAUGGUGUGAAGAGAGAGAGGACAGCUGGCAGAGGAUGGGAGGGGAGAGAGGCUCGGGUGGGAGAAGGGGAAAAGAGAGGGCUCGGGUGCGAGAUAGCCUCGCCAUAUAGAAUAAAGCAAAAAUAGGGGUGCCACGUGGGAUCGAAGAAAGUGCCAAAUUAUAUAGUGUUAGAUAUACAAUUUAUGCUACAUUUUUUUGUACAGCAUGACUAUUGAUUUAUGUAGCUUAUAAUUUCUUUUUUUCGGCAUAAACUUUUAAUAUAAAGUCAGUGGCUAUAAAGAUACUGAACAAAUUUAAAAGAACAAUUUUAACAUUUUUGAUUGUAUGGAACAUCUGUAUAAAUACUAAUUUAAUUAAAUAUAUUGGAAAUCUGGUACUCGCUCUGAUACCAGAUUUUGAGAAUUCGCAACCCAUUAUGAUACUGACUGUUGUUGAUUCGGUUCGCUUCGAUACUAAUUGUUGGGAUAUCACAAUAAAAGCGUCAAAUCAGAUUUUUAUCAUAAACCAUCUUUUUGGUAAAAAAGUUAUUGCUGACGUAAUAACAAAAAAGAGAAAGUUAAAUAAAAAAAAUAAAGAAGAAUACAUGUGACUCUUUCUCUUUAUGGAGUAACUUCAAUUCGAAUCCUUUUUCUGAAUCCCUCUCAUCCCUUUUGCGUCUUCUAUAAACUUUGAAGACAACUCUCUUUCGACGCACCCGUGCAGCAUGCAACUAUUGCCAACUCUCUCUACCACUGUCCACCCAAUUCGGCUAUAUAGCACCUCUGGCCGCAUCCGUACUUUCCGCACGAGCCCACUCGACCGUUAUGAUGCUUAUACAAUGUACGCAAUCCUAAUAUAAUUAAAAAUUUUACUCUAAUUAAUAUCUAAAUUCAAAUCAAUUUAUCUCCCAUAAAUUUAAAUAUUUAUCCUAAUUCAACUAGAAAUUAACUACAGAUCUAACCAAAAUUCUAAUAAAAUGUAUUAUACUUAUAUUUCUUAUAAUGUAUACAAAAAUACUCUGUAUCAAUUUCUUUAGUUAUAUUUUCUUUAAUCUACAAUUCUUAAUUUUAGUUAUACAAAAAUACUAAUAGCCAUUUCGAAGGUAUUCCUUUAGUUAUAUUUUCUUUAAUCUUCAAUUCUUAAUUAUAUAUAUAUAUAGAGAGAGAGAGAGAGAGAGAGAGAGUUGAGCUAGAAUACUAUCGAUAGCAAACUGGCUCCGUUGCCACCCAUUUAUUUUCGAUGAUAAAGCCUCCAAAUCGACGAUCUGCACCGUUGAAUAUGAUCUAUACCACUUGAAAUGUUUGGAAAUCAAAUUUCAAAUCUUUUCGACCUCAUUUGCCUAAUGAUCAAAGGGUUUCAAAAUUUGUAAUUUUAAUAGUCGAUAUGAGGCGUUUUCUCGUUUAACGGCGUAAAGAUAUUCAAAUCAAUUGAAUUUUUGUUAGAAAAUUUUUUAAACUAUUUAAAAUAAGAUUUAUACUCUUGAUCUUGAUUACAAGACUCCUAUCAUCAUUUUUUAAAGAAUAUUCAUUUUCAGCCGUUCAUUUUUGUUUCCACUCGAUGGAUAAGAGAAUAAUAUCGAAAAUGUAUGAAAUUUGAUUUCUACACACUUCAAGUGGUAUAGAUCAUAUUCAGCGGUGCCGAUCGUCAAUUUGGAGGCUUCAUCAUCGAAAACAAAUGUGUGUUGUGUUGUGUUGGGUUGAGAAGGAGGGGAAUGCUUCAGGUCGGCGUGCAGGGAUAGAUGGUAUAUUAAGUUGAAAAAAUUUGUAUUAAGGAUUUUUUUUUUUUGGUUUUAGAGGUGGGU